CUGUUGAGGCCUCUCACCUCUAACUGUAUGAGAUAUGCUUUCUUGGGAUCUGUUUCUCAUAUACCAUCCCUUAAAUUCAUGCCCUGUCAUUGUAUUCUUGGGAUUCCUUCCUUUUCCCCCCUUCUUCUCUGAGCCUAACUGAUAUAUUGUUUCAGCGUGCUGGGGCAGUAUUCCCCCCGAGAUCCGAGAGGUCCGCACCUGUAUUUACUCCUCCUCAAACACAACCUUUGUCUUCUUAUCCCCAAAACAUUCGCAAUUCUGGUCAGCAAGAGACGGCUGAGCCUUCUGCAAAGCCUGAGUUCCUAAGCCUGAGGUAAUUUUGUUGUUCCUCAGUCAUUUGAGUGGUAAAAACAUGUUGAUUGUUCGUGUUUACCAUUAUUAGUAUUAAAUUCUAUCGUGGCCUAUGUUUCUUUUUCAGAAAAAAAAAAAAAAAAAAAACCCUUCCCUUUAUGAUGUUCGGUUUAGAAAUUGUGGUACAGUAAUCUGUUUAAGUGAAAGUCUGAUGCUCAUAAUAAAUUCUUAUUAUCAUUAUCUAACAAAUAAAUUACAAAUCUUAUUGACAUAUGUCAAAGUGGGUUUUCAUUAAUAAGGAGACUCUUCCAUUCUAUUUGGUGCGUAUGGCUAAUUUUUAAUAUUUUCUAAUGUAUUAAGGAGUAAUUGUCAAGGCAAACCUCUUAUUCACCCCUUAAAUGGACCUUUUUUAGAGAGAACUAGGGCCUUGUCAGUUAAAAUUUCCUAUUUGUUUUAAUUUCUCAGUUUGCUCUUAUUCUGUUCCAUUAUUUAUAGUGACUUUAUUUUGCCAAUUCACUGUGUCCAUGGUAUAUUAUCACUUAUUCACUGCAUCUGGUCUUCUUUUAACUGGAGUUAAUUUAUUAGUUUGACAGAAAUUCAGAACGCACGAGGUAUUAUGGAUGUCCUUGCAGAAAUGCUAAAUGCUUUAGCUCCUGGGAACAAGGAGGUAUUGUCCACAAUUUGAAAUAGAAAGGAAGGCAUUUUGUUUACUUGCUAAAAUGACACUUCCCACAAGCAUAAUGAUGUAGUUUCCAAGUGACAAGUCAAUAACUGAUUUACCGAUUUAAAGCGACUAUUGAAGUCUUGAUAUAACUGACAUUUGUGUAAUAAUUUCGUUGUCAAUGCUCAAAUUCAUCAGUAUGUGAACCUGUUUCUGUGUAAACUUUAUGUUUUUCCAGCUCUUAUGAUUAAAAGCUGCUAAUGAAGCCAUGAAGUUUCAUGUCGCUUAACCUCUUCUAAUCUUUAAUGAAUUUCUGUUUCUUUUAGAUUCAUUUUCGAUUUGCUUAUUUUGUCUACAAUUUCAGGGACUUAGGCAGGAGGUUAUUGCUGACUUAGUGGAUCAGUGCCGUACUUACAAAUUAAGAGUUGUACACCUUGUUAAUUCCACAUCGUAAGGAUACUCACUUUUACUAUAAUUUCCCAGUGGCCCUUAGUAAUUGUGUUAUAAGUCGAUGACUCUUUGUUCUCAUCUAUUUCCAUGUUCCUGCCAUUCUUGUUCUGUGUGUUCAUUUAUGAUUUCUGUUUGUACUGCCUAGACUUAGUGUGUUAUUUCAAUAUGCUUGAUAAAAUGCUUGACCAAUUUGAAGGAGUGAGUUCACGAUGAGUGUUGAAACCAAAGGACUGUUUUUUUUUUUUCACUUAUAAUGUCUUGGUUCUAUGGGACAAGAUGCCAAAGCAGCCUGUGAAGGAUUUUUACCUCUCUUUGAGUACCUCAAUGAAUAUCUUUAUGUGCAUUCCAAUUAAAUUUCCGUGAUAUAGUCACUUAUUCAGGCAUGUAUGGCGUAUGAGUUGCGUUGUUAUUUUGUUUUUUACCUUUAUGGAAUAGUACAGAAUUCAUUGCAAUGUUUCUAUAUUCAAAACAUCUUAGGUUUGAUUCUUUAUCUCUUUUAGGGAUGAGUCACUACUAUGUCAAGGUUUAGCAUUGAAUGAUGAUUUGCAGCGAUUACUGGCAAAACAUGAAGAAUUAGCUUCAGCAACUUCUUCUCAAGUAGGCAAACCUAAGCCUGAACCUGCAAAAGAGCUUGCGAAUGUUGAUGGUCCCCUACUCAAUACAGGUGAUAGCAGCAAGCGCUCUGAUGGGAGGUAAUUAGCCUUUUUUGGUCUAGAUUAUUAUAUGCAGGAAUGUGGUAACUAGAAUUAUUGAUUUUUUUGUGUCACUACAGGAAAUGAUAGAAUAAUAAAUUGCAUGUGCUGCAUGUCCUAAUCUUUACUGGUGCUAACUAAUCAUGCUCUUGUCCUCAGCAUCCUGGUACUCGGAUUACCUGUUUCUUUCUGCUAUUUGAUUUAUUUGUUUGGAAGAGUCCUCGGUAGAAUUAUCACACUAGAUUUUCAUUGUUGAUGCUUGACUAGUUGAAGUUGGAAACCUUUUCAGCAUUCUUAGAACUAGUUAUUAGUAGUCUGUUUCUCUCUGUUGGGAGUGACUGAAAUUGCUUAUCCAAUUUUAAGCUGCUAGGAUUGACAUUGAAGUUCAUUAUAUACUGGGUUAUCUAAAUCCCUUGAUUAGAUGUUUGCAGUAGCUUGAGCUAACUAACAGGAUUUCUUCACAGAUCUACCUCAAGCAAUGGUGCAAGUUCUCAACCAUUUAAUCAGUUAUCGAUUCCUGUGGCUCCUGAAACUAAUGGUUCAACUCUCCCAGCUGCAGUGAAUCCCAAAAUGGAUCUGCUUAGUGGUGACGACUAUUCACCCAAGGCAGAUAACACACUGGCCCUUGUUCCUUUGGGAGAACCACAACAAACAACUCCUGCAUCACAGCAGAAUGCUCUUGUUCUCAUUGAUAUGUUCUCUGAUAGUAAUAGUACCUCUGGUUCUCCAAAAAUCCAAUCUUCUGGUUUGGCUGGACAAACCGAUCCUUUGACUCCUCAAAUUCAGCAGCAGCAGCAGAAUUUUCAUGCGAAUGGAACUGUAUCUAACAUGGGAUCACCUCGAUAUGAGCAGUCAUAUGUUCAAGGGAUGGGUCAUGCCUGGAAUGGCCAGAUGGCUCAGCAGCAGCAGAAUUUUCAUGGGAAUGGAAUUGUACCAAACAUGGGAUCACCUCGAUAUGAGCACUCGUAUGCUCAAGGGACAGGUCCUGCCUGGAAUGGCCAGAUGGUUCAGCAGCAGCAGAAUUUUCAUGUGAACCGAACUGUAUCGAACAUGGGAUCACCUCGAUAUGAGCAGACAUAUGCUCAAGGCACAGGUCCUGCCUGGAAUGGUCAGCUGGUUCAGCAGCAUCAUCAGAAUAACUUUUAUGGAAAUGGAAGUGUAUCAAACAUGGGCUCGCCUCGAUAUGAGCAGUCAUGUGCUCAAGGCACAGGUCCUGCCUGGAAUGGCCAGCUGGUUCGGCAGCAGCAGGGCCACUUACCUGUCUAUGGUUCGUUUCUGUUUGUAAUAGGCUUUUUUCUACAAACUGGAGUAUUUUUACUUUUGUUACACUCACACACCAUUCUUGUUUAGGGAGAGAUAUAAUAACAGCAUGCCACAUUUCAAAUCAUUAAUAUACAUCAUCGUGAUCUUUCUCUUACCAAAUUCAUGUAGAUAUAUCUAGGCUUAGUUGCCUGGGUGAAUAGUUAUAUUCUUGCUGCUAAUAUACUUAUUUCAUGUUGAGAAGGUGCCCAGAGUAGUGGUUCACUACCACCACCACCAUGGGAAGCACAGGCAGCAGACUCUAGCCCAGUUACAGGUGCUCAGUACCCCCACCAAUCAGUGGUUACUCAAGUUGUUGUAACACAUACACUUCCUCAAAGACCUCAGCAUAUGGGAAGUGAUCACGUGGUGGGGAUGUAUAUUCAGCCAAUCACAAAUGGUAAUUUGUCAGCAAUUAAUAACCAGGUUGUUCCCAAAAACCAGUUUUCUGGUUUUCAUCCCCAACCGAUCCAAGGAGCGCAGCAUAUGGGAAUGUAUCCACAGCAACUGCCAGCUAACCAGAUGGCUUCCAUGCAUCCUCAACAAAUGUACGGGAACCAAAUGGGAGCAUAUGGCUAUGGAGAGUUGCAGUAUAUAGAUCAGAAAAUGGAUGGGCUAUCCAUCAGAGAUGAUAAUAGCCUGAGAAACUCUUACUACCAGGUUCCCACUUCAUCUUAUGUUCCACCUGGCAAGGCUUCGAAAGCAGAGGAUAAGCUGUUUGGGGACCUUCUUGACAUGGCAAGAAUUAAAUCAAUAAACACCACCCCAAAAGCUUGGUAGCAUGUGAACCUGGAAUUUGUUUUUUUUUUUUUUUCUCCUUUCAGCUUUUCAUUUUACAUAUUUCUUUUGGUAACCAACUUGUUUCCUUUCUCGUUUUCUUUCUUUCUUCUUAAAUAAUAUAAGAUGUUCUUCACCUGCCUCUUAUAUUUUGUUUUGCAUGGUUGGCAAUGGAAUCAUGUACAUUCCCUGUAGAGAAAAUGGAAAGAUCUACUCUUUUUGGGUCAGGAUGACUUUUUGCCUCUCUCCCUCUUUUUAAAGAAAAUUUCUCAGGCUUAUGUAAAAUAAAAAUUUAUUGUGAUAUAAUGUAAAUGUGGAAUUCCUUUCCAACUUUUAAGGCUUUUAGGCAUAAAUUUUCUGUUGGCAUUUUGAACUGCAAGGCUGUUGUAAUAUUGUAUAUGCUGAAAUUUACUCUUGUUGUCAAAGUAGGGUUAGUUUGUCUAUUUUACUAUUGAUUUUUUAAAAAUUUUAAAUGUAUACUUUUGUGGCACAUAAACGUGAUUCUAAACUAAUAAAACGAGUAACGACUAUGGCAGUAUGGCCCAAAAAGAAAAAAAGAAAAAAAAAAGGAAAACUAAUAAAAUGACCAUUGGAAUAAAGUUCAAUACCACGUGCUCAAUCAGAGUUCCAUUACAUCAUUCAAAGUACAACAAAACAAUUACAGAAAUCGUAACUCGACGAGGAACCGGUCGAACCAAUUAUUUGCUUCUUUCACCACUAAUGGAGUCAUUUUAUGCCCUAUAUAAAACCAUCAAAACUGUAGUGGAGCUGAAAACUGAUAACUAUCUUAAAUACUAAAGCAUGCAUUCCAAGAUGGCAAACAUGUAUAUACGCAACCUGCAACCAUCACAGCAAUGUGUCUAUACACACAUGAAAGAUAUAUUUGGCACUGGCGCACUGCCCCAUCUUUAGGUGAUGUCUUAGGUUUCCCAUGCAACAAUGGGAGCUUGAAUACCUUUGCUUUCAAGCCUUAUUGGCAAACAUAAAUAAAGAUAUAGUUUUUGGACAUUUCAGAGUUCUUUAAAAUCAACUCCAUACCUUGAACUUAUCUAAACAAUGGGUCUACCUCGCUUACAGUUCCAUUGAGCAGGCGAUGUAAUCUUGAAGGAUGAGGAGGUCGGUGGAGGGGUGGACCACAAGUUUUGCAGCCUCCACAAGUUUUACAGUUCCAUUCAGCUUCAAACGUUCUGUUCGCUUGCCAUGUUUACGGUAUGUUGGCUCGCACGUGUGGGAUAAUAAAGGCAAAGCAUAAUAUGAUGAAAUUAAGAAAGAAAAGGUAUGGGAGUGAUGGUAAACAGCAUUGACAGUAGAACUGUCCAUGGGCCGGGCCGGGUUCGGGCCGGGCCUACAAAAUUUUCAGCCCAUUUACUAGGCCCGGGCCCGGCCCAAAUAUGGGCCUGAGAUUUUGCCCAGGCCCGGCCCGAAUAAAAAAAUAUGGGGCUUGAGCCCGGCCCGGCCCGUUUUUAAUUAAAAUUAAAAUUAAAAUUAUUUUUUUAAUAAAAUUAAAACUAAUUGUUAUUAAAAUUAAUUGUUAGUAAAAUUAUCAAAUUAUUAAUUGUUAAUUGUAUUAAUUGUUGUAAUAAAAUCUAACAUUUGAUUAGUAAAUUUAUCAAAUUAUUAAUUGUUAAUUGUAUUAAUUGUUGUAAUAAAAUCUAACAUUUGAUUAGUAAAUUUAUCAAAUUAUUAAUUGUAUUAAUUGUUGUAACAAAAUCUAACAUUUGAUUAGUAAAACAAACUUGAUGUUUUAUUAUUAUUAUUUUGUAACACUAGUCAAGGAAAUGAAAGUAAAUAAACUUAAAAUAAAAAACUAUUAUAUUUUAAAAAUAAAAUAUAUAUAUAUAUAUUUAAUAUUUUUCGGGCCAGGCCGGGCCUGGCCCGGGCAAAAAAAUCUUGCCCGAUGCCCGGCAUAUUUUUUAAACGGGCCUAAAAUUUUGCCCAAGCCCAUAUUUCGGGCUUAUAUUUUUACCCAAAUCCUCUCAUAUUUUAGGCGGGCCGUCGGGCCGGGCCAGGCCGCCCGACCCAUGGACAGGUCUAAUUGACAGGUAAGAGGGAAGCAUCCUUUUCUGUCCACCUACUAUUUUUUUUAUAAUAGUAAAAUAGGAAAAGGCCCAAAACUUUUAAUACCCAAAGGAACGCCCAAAACAAAUGUAAUUGUAACAUUGUUUCAGGUAAAGAAGGGGGAAACCAAGAGUUAUUUUGUUUGAUUCGACGAAAGUUGAAAAAAGAAAACAACGAAGCUCCAUUCCUUUUAUCUCCAGAGUUUUUCAUUUCACAUUCAAUGGAAAUCUUAGGAGAAACAUAAUAAACAAAAAAGCAACAGAAAUUGUAGAACCAUGCCUUGGGGUAUCUAAGUUGAUUUUGAACAAGUGGAAGAUCACCGUAAGUUGGUCGAAUGUUUUUGAAGAUGGAUGACGACAGUUCGAAGCAAAUGGUGAUGGUACAGAUCGUGUAGUGCCAUAAUGAAAGAUUUAAGAUAGGAAAAUGGUCACUUUUGAUUACGGGAUCCUGACAAAUGGAGCAGCCCAAGAUUUGUUUUUUUUAUUUUUCCGAUGUAACUUGCUUUUCUUUUCUUUUAAACUUAUCUUAAUUAAAUUGGUAUUUUUUAAUGGAAUCUAGUUAAUUUCUGCAAUUAAUUCUGAUUCUUUUUUCCCGUUAAAUUAUCUGAUGGUGAUGAAUGAACAGCAAAUUUUGGGUUGGAAAUUCAUUGUCUUAAGUCAACUCUGGGUGCCUUUCUGCACCUACUAAUUACUAAAUAAUAAUACAUUUUUAAAAAAUAGAUGACCCCGUUAAAGGUUUCAUUCAUCACAUGAAUCUUUAGCUUAAAAAAGUAUCCAUAUUGAAAAAAAAUAAAAAAAAUCUCGUUUAUUGUUUUGUCUUUGUGUCUGAAUCUGAAUGUUUGUGACAGAGAGCGUGGGACCGUCUUCUCUGAACUGUUUAAAAGUCUCUCUUUUUUCUGCAAGCUUUCAAGCACAGCAAGGCCAUUAUAAAGAUUCCUUGAACAUCUAUAUUUAUUUAUUUUAAGCUCUAUUCUUUUACUCUCCAUUUUGACCUUUACAUAAGGCAAAUGAAGAUCUGAAAAAUGUUGAAGCUUUCCGUUUUCUUCGGUUGAACAAAAAGCUCAAAGCUCAAAUAUGAUGCUGCUUCUCUCUCCUCUGCGACUUUUGGAAAGGAAAAUCAAAUACCCAUUUUCCACCGGAAGGUAAUUCGGCUGCUGAUUUCAUCAAGGUUGGAUUAUUCAAUCAAAUCUGGUGCCCUUUUUCUUGUUUUUGAGAAAUGGGAUUUUUGUAUUCAUCCUGUUUGAUUUGAAAUUACUUUAGUUGCUUAAACAACUUUGGUUUGGAUUUGGUGUAUUUACAGGCAUCAGUAAGGUGAAGGGAAAAUUAUAUUUUGUGAAAGUGGAUUCAUAUAGCUGAAUGUUUCUGGUAGGAUUGAUUUGAUAAUUUAUUGGUUAUUAUGAGCACUAGAUUGUUGCAAAAAGAGAUAUAGAAAUGAAUGUGCAAUGCAGUAAGGAGUACAUAUGCAUGAAUUUGGUUGCUGCCUUGUGGUGGUUCUUUUUAGUAAUUGGUUAAGGAGUAAAUCAGAUUAGUAGUGAUGGCAUCCAUUAGAAGAACACUGUCUCCGGUGCCUCGACAAGGGACUUUAAUUACCGGAGAGGCUGAGCGUUCAGUUCCUUCUCCUUUGUCCAAGUCUUCAUCAUGUAGCCAGAGUUCCCCAGCCACUGGUGGAUUGCUAUCUUCUCUUUUUGGUUUAUCGGACUCUCAAGCUUUAGUUUUCGGAGUUUUCUCACCAAGAUCCUUUAGACCUCUUGACAGGGCUAAACAGAAAGGACAAGUUUGGAGGAGGGUUGUUUUUCAAUUCUUCAUUUGUUUCAUAAUUGGUUUUCUUAUUGGAUUUACACCAUUCAUUUCCAUGGACUUUUCAUAUAUGAAUCCGGUUUCAAAGCAUCAGGCAUUUUCUUUUGAGGUAGUAUCAACUGCUGGGAAUUUUCAAUCACUCAACAAUUCACAAAGGAAUGUAGCAUCAACAAUGAACAACCCUGGGGUUGAAAAUAAUUUCACAUUAGAGGGAUUGGUGCAGAGACAGGAAAUGACAGAAGGGAAUUUAGAUGAUGCCUCGACUAAUCAAUCGGUCCCUCAAGAUAUAGAUCUGGAAUCUCGCAAGCUUUUGAUAAUUGUGACUCCAACAUAUGCUCGAUCGUUUCAGGCCUAUUAUCUAAAUCGUUUGGCGUACACAUUAAAGUUGGUCCAACCUCCACUAUUGUGGAUUGUUGUAGAGAUGACCUUACAAUCUGAUGAAACAGCUGACAUCCUAAGAAGGAGCGGUGUUAUGUAUAGGCAUCUUGUCUGCAAGAAAAAUCUGACUGAUAUAAAAGACAGAAGUGUUCACCAAAGAAAUGUGGCACUAUCUCACAUCGAAACUCAUCAUCUUGAUGGAAUUGUCUACUUUGCCGAUGAACAUAACAUCUACUCAAUUGAUCUCUUUGAGCAAAUGAGGCAUAUUAGGUAUCUCCUUUAUGCUUUUAUAUUCUGUCUGUUUCUUAUUCUCUGAAUGAAGCACCUUGCUUAUCCUUUUAUUUGUUAUAGCCACAAUAUACCUUCUCCCUUUUAUAUGUGCCUAGUGCUGCAGCUUUUUUAUGGCAUUUAUAUUUAUAGGCAAUUUGGGACUUGGCCUGUGGCCAAACAAACAUCGGACAAAAGUAGAGCUGUAUUGGAAGGCCCUGUUUGUAAUGGAACUCAAGUCAUUGGAUGGCACCUAAAUGGAUUAAGUAAGCGAUUCCAAAGAUUCCAUGCUGAAAUGUCAGGGUUUGCCUUCAACAGUACCAUACUAUGGGAUCCAAAGCCAUGGCACCGACCUACUCUUGAACCGAUAAGACAGCUUGACACGGUCGAAGAUGGUUUCCAUGUUAGUAUUUAUUGGCUCUUCUUUGAUUGUCUUUAAGUGUCUUAUUGUUUCACCUUACUACAGUGAUCACAGCUGUUGUUGUUUCUGGAUAAAAGAGAAAUUGUUGGCAAUUCAGAUAAGAUUAUAUAUAUUUAUAUUUGAGCACUGAAAAGAUGGAAACAAAAAGUGGGCAAAAAAUGUGAAUGGAAUUCUCCCAAACCUGGUGUGGAAAAUUUACCCCUUGAGAAAGUAUUUAGCACUUUAACCUAUAUUGAAAUGCUACAUACUGGUGAUGGAUUUCACUUCAAUAUUUUAAGAUUAUUUAUUUGAAUUUGCAGGCAAGCUCAUUUAUUGAACGAGUUGUGCAAGAUGAAAGCCAGAUGGAAGGCUUACCACACGACUGCUCAAGAGUCAUGGUUUGGGAGCUAAAUGUUGAAUCACCUAAUUCUUUCUAUCCCAAAAAAUGGUCAAUGAAGAAUAAUUUGGACAUCAUUGCUCCACUCGCAUGAAACUCAAUAUGUCAAAGGAGUUAAUUUUGAUCAUCAAGGUGAGUGUCAAUUUCCUUUUCAAGUAAUCAAAGUAAAUGCCAAAUUUUUUUUUCUUUUUUGUUUUGCCUAUGACAUGCUAAAAAUCUACAUGGAAAUAAAAGUAAUUUUAUAUUAACUUGAAUUCCAGUAUAUUCAUCAUUGAAGUGAGAAGAAAGAAUAUACAGGAAAACAAACAACAUAAUGAAAAACCAAGCUCUUUUAGCUGUAUUACCUCUUUCAUAUUUUCUUUUUCCAUGUUUUGGCCUCCGGGGCUGAUUCAUCUAACAAGACAUUGCACAAGUGCAUUGAGAUUUUUCAUGUUCAUUAUUGUAGGAAAGAUGGCCAAGAAUUGUAUUUAACUGCCAUCGAAGGAGACUCGAAACUCAACUGAUACCUAAAUCAAGUGGAAGAGCAUUACCAAUACCUUGUUGCAGUAAAACAGAGUAAUCUGCAGACAAGUGUAAACAAAACCUUCGUACGGUAUCUCGUUUUCCCGUUUCUGCAUUGCCCGUUGAGAGCAUUUCGUGAGACUAGUUGGGAAGGAUGGUCAAAUGGAAAGCAUCCUUGUGUAAUGCUGACUGUAAUGUUAUUACUUUGACUCUCAUUCUCGUUUUAGCUAAUAGCUAUUCUUUUGGGGGAGUAAAAUUGAAAGCAAAUUUUGGUCAAUCACAUUUUGUUACCUCCAUAUCUGUCUUUUUAGUACAAUGUUUCUUGCAUGUAUUUUAUAAUUAAUUUGUAAUGCAGCUUUGAAUUCAGCUGUAAAUGCGAUGUGAAAGUGGAUUGCGUGACUAAAUUGCACUUUUAACUGCAGAGUACUGGUUUAGAACAGAAUUGCAGAUUCACUACAUUAAACUACAGUGGCUACCCUAUGAGAAGUUGCGUGUAAAUCUUCGUUAGUUUAGCUACUAUGAUUGGUUUGUUCAAUUAUUGGUUAUUGUUACAAGAUAAAAUGACAUCUUCAAAUCUAUUUGGAUAGAAUAUGUUUUUUCUAUAAUUACAGUAUUGGUUAGCCCUCCACUAAAAGACAUUUAGGAAUCCUGACAGUAAAUUUUCUUUUAACGGCCCUUUUGGUAUGCUUGAUGUAGAAAGAGGAGUAUUAUGUUCAAUACCACUCAAGAUAAAAGAUAUAUCAAGGUGUUUGGUCGAUGAGAAUCGUAAUGUUUAUUAUUAUUGUUAUCUUGUGUUUUCCAUCAAAUAAAACAUUAACUGUCAAUACAAGUGAUAUUUAAAUACCAGAUUUAAGUCUGUUUUAUUUAUCCUUCAUCUUAAAACAAAAAGUCACGUAAAUGGCUCGUAAAUGUGAUGGGAUGUUUUUUAACUUUUCAAGGCCAAAGAAUGACAUUCUAUAAAUAUUUUGGAAUUAACUCGCUAUCAGGCGACCGUCGAUAUGUCCGAGUGGUUAAGGAGACAGACUCGAAAUCUGUUGGGCUAUGCCUGCGCAGGUUCGAAUCCUGCUGUCGACGAUCCUUUUUAUUAUCAACUCUUCUUUUUUGAUAAUUUUCUGAACUCAUGUUUAAGGUUAUGCUAAUGAGACUGUAAUAACUAAGAAUCCUGAACAAUGAGUAAUCAUGGGCGUUUCUCUCUUUUUAAUUAUCAUAAAACUUAAUUAGCUAAGCAAGAUUGCAUUGCAUGAAUGAACUUAGCAUAUACUAUAAAUAUAGAAAGAAAUUUUGCUGAAAUUCUACUGAUAUACAUAUAUAUAUGUUCAGUAAAACUCCUGUUGGUUUGAUUCUUUCCUUCCUUAUGUUGCUGGUACGUAUAUAUAUAUAUGCCUAAAAGAUUUAUACAACAAGAGGGUACCAAGAUAAAUUAUAAUAUUUGAUCUGGAGAAUGAGUGCAACUCACUUCAUUCUCUUCUUCAAAUUGAGUUUUUUUUCUUCUUCACUCAUCGAUCAAUCAUUUUUUUUAUCAUACCAAUCACCAUUGCUUUGCUUAAUUAAUUUCUCCCAAAGUUAGAUGUUUCCUAACCUAGAGUUGAUCUUUCUGGCAUCUCUCUAUGGCUCCUACAUUGCUUGCGUGCUUCUCCUGGCUUCCUGCCUCAUCUUAAUCACCCUCUUGCUCACUUUUUCUCUCUCAACUUUCUCCGUUGUUUUCAUCGAUAUAUUUACUAUCUUUUCCUUAUUUUCUCAGUUGAUUGGAUCAAUAAAGGCUGAUGUUGAUCUGGGUUUUGUUCUGCUUCUCUGCAUGUUCUUGCAAUAUGGGAUUGCUGGUGUUUCGGCUUUAAAGCCCUCAUUCCAUCGCCUGGUUUUUCUACUCAGAUUAAAGCUCCAAGAUACCAUGAAUCGCAUCCAUGCUUGGCUGGCUGUUGCUCCUCCACACCAGAAAAUUUCAGCCGUAAUUUCAUCCCAAUUAUUCACCAAAAACUAAUCAAUAUAAUAUAAAAGAAGAAUUGAUUUAUAAUUUAUAAUCAUCUAAUGUUUGGGUGCGAUUCAUUGUUAUUCAUCCAAGAUAACCAUUACUGUCUAGUUUUGUAGUAUACGGUUAUUGGCUCAAAUGUUCAUUUUAUAAUUUUAAUGAUUUAAGAUUGAUUAUUGUGACUAUUAAAUAAUAAUAAUAUAAAAGUUGGUUUAUUGUAACAAUCACAUUUAACAUUACUUCUUUUAAAUUAUUAAUUUAAAAAUAUUUUAUAAAAAAAAUUAUUUAUAAUUAUUUCCCAACCUAUAAACAAGAGUAUAAUACGCUUUAACAACUCGAACUCACAACAAUACUUAUAUGAAUCAAGCUAAGACUCAAUUGACAACUUAGAUGAUAAUAUUAAUGUUACAACAAUUUGCGCAUACUAUCUUUCACUUAAGAAAGUGAGUUAUAUCUGAUUUACUCUUGUAUAAAAAAAAAUUUGUCACGCAAAAUAACUUUCAAAUCAACUAAUUGAAUGGUACAUUAGUGAAAUAAAAUAAUAUAAAAUAUUUAAGUAAAAAAUUUUAAAUAAUAAUUAUUAAUAAAAUAAUAAAAAUGCAAAUAAUAUUGAUCGUUCAAUAUAAACUCAACUUUUCAGUAAAUCAAAAUCUUUUUGUUUUGACAUUAAAAUUGAUUAUUGAUGAAAAUUAAUUUAUCAUUAAUAAAUUAAAUUAGUUACGAAAUUAAUAUAUAUGUGUGAGACAAGUAGAGAAAAUGUUAGGGGAGGGGUAUGGUAUUGUAACACCCCGACCCGCGUCCGUCGCCCGGAUUAGAGUUACGAGGCAUUACUAAACAAAGCACACAUUCGAAAACACAUAAAACCCAAUUUAAACAAAAUGAUCAUGAACAAAACAUUUUUUUUUUAAACCAAACUGAUCACAAACAUGGAAAUUAAACCAUUUUCGCAUGGCUAUUUAUAUUUUAUGAUCCAAAACUAACCAAAAACAAACUCAAGUCUAUACAUGCCAUAAAAUCGAGAUCAACUUAACAAAAUACCAAAAGAAGUCGAUAGUGUGAUAGACUAUGCUGAUGAUCCCCGAGCUCGUAACGCGACUCCAAAAUCUAUAAAACAAAUGGACAAAAACAAUCAAAGUAAGCUUUUAUAGCUUAGUAAGUUUAUAGCAAAUUAAAAAUACAUAUAAACGAACAUAUGUAUAAACAUUAUAUGCUUAUAAUCAAGUUACAGACAUAAUCAUUAAUUGCAUAUACUAAUUUCUAAUAUACUUAUCAUUUGGAUUUCAUCGAAUGCAUUUCUAUGAUCUUUUCAAUACAUAUGUCAAAAGCUUAUAUUUUUACUUAUCAACUUCAUGAAUCAAAUGCACAGUUAUACUUCUAAUCCACAUGUGCCGAAUGCCUACAUGUAUAUUCAACAAUCUUCAUAACAACCAAUAUAAUAUAUGUGCCUAUUCACUAAACACAUAGAUUCAAACAUUUAUAUGCUCAUCAAAUACAUAUAAAUAAAUGUUCAUAUACUUAUCCAUUAUAUAACCCAAAAUAAUUUACAUAUUUAUAUAUAUCAAAUGCAUAUAAUCACUUAAUUUAACAUAUUCACCGGCACUUAACCUGCUAAGCUUAUAGCCUGAUUCAGAUCACCGGCACUUAGCCUGCUAGACUUAUAGCCUGUUUUAGAUCACCGGCACUUAGCUUGCUAGACUUAUAGCCUGUUUCAGAUCACCGGCACUUAGCCUGCUAGACGUAAAGUCCGAAAAAUUCACCGGCAUUAAGCCUGCUAGGCGCUUAGCCUGAAAAUUUCAAUUUCACAGAUACAAAGAUGAUUCCUCGUACAUUUCUUAAUAGCAACACAUGUUCAUAACAUUUAUGUAUAAUUCACAACCUCAACUUUAUCCCCAGAAAAUUUGUAAUCCAUGUUCGAAGCAUACAAGCAUUUACAAAUUAUACUUUUAAUCCAACUCAAGUAUUUGUAUAUGUAUUUAUAUCUAUUCGAACCACACACAUGCAUAUGUAAAGUUCAUACUUUACAUUCAUUUCAAAAACUUAUAUAUAUACACAUAACUAUAUAUUCGAACCUCACACAUAUGCAUGAAAAUAUAGAAUUCAUACUUUUAAUUCCAUUCAAAAACUUAUACAUGUAUAUACAUAUAUAUUCAAACCUUAUAUAUAUAAAUAUAUCAUCCAUACCUUUAAUUAAACUCAAGAUCUUAUACAUAUUCAUAUAUACAUAUUCGAACUUCAUUUAUGCAUAUAUAUAACAUUCAUACUUAACUAAUUUCAAUUCAUAUAUUUUUAAUUAUAGCUCAUCAAAUAUACAAUAGAUAUACAUAUACAUAUAUAUAUAUGCUGAUUUCAUAACAUUAAAUUGCUAAUAGACUUACCUCGGACGAUGGAAAAUCGAAGUCGGAUGAUUAUUCGACUAAUUUGGUUUUUUCCCGAUCUAACUCCGAUUUCUUUGGUUCUCGAUCUAAAUAUAUUCAAAAUGAGAUAAUUUAUUUAUUAACACAUUCAAUUUAGUCCAAAAACACAUAAUUUGGAAAAUUACUAUUUUGCCCCUAAUAUUUACACUUUUUGCAAUUUACUCCCUAUUGCAUAAAACACAAUUUACACAAAAUUUGCCCAUACCACACAAGGGCCGAAUAUUCAUGGUUCUCAUACAAGUCCACACAUUUCAUUUAUUUCACAUUUUAGUCCCGCAAAAAUUUAAAUUUCACAAUUUAGCCCUAUUUACUCAAUUUCACUAAAAAUUCAAAGACAAAACAUUUUAAUCUUUCACCCAUCUUUCAUAUUUCAUCAUCAACUAUCGAAAAGCUCAAACAUUCAUCAAUGGCAUAUCUCAAAAUCACCAUCAAAUUCUAAAAUUAAAGCAUGGGUCUUGUAGUACACAAAGCAACGAUCUCAAAAACGUAAAAAUUAUAAAUAAAAAAACGAAACAAAACUAACCUCAAUCAAGCUAUGAAAGUGCCGAAUUUUAGAAAGUCAUUGUUGGGUUCUUCAUGCUUAACAUUCGGCUAAGAAAAGAUGAAAACAUUCAUCUUUUCAUCAUUUAUUUUUAAUUAUAAUGUUUAAUUUAACAAUUGACUAAAUUAACCUUAUUAUAAUAAAUAUAUAUAACAUAUAUAUUAAGGUCAAUUAUGUCAUAUGCCACCCACUAUCUACUUUAUGGUCUUAUUGCAUCAUAAAUCCUCCCAUUUUAAAAGACAUCAACAAUUAGGUGCUUUUAUAAUUAACCCCUAAAUUUUCAUUUUACGCGAUUAAGCCCUUUUAUUAAAUCGGACGCUUAAACGACGAAAUUAAAACAAGAAAAUUUCACACAAUCAAAUGCACACAAAAUAAACACACAAAAUAAUAUUAAAAUAUUUUUUUGACUCGGACUUGUGGUCCCGAAACCACUAUGUCCGAUCAAAGUCGAAAUCGGGCUGUUACAGGUAUGGUUGUUCAUAAAAUAUACUGUCGCUAAAAAAAAAGCAUCACACCAAUGAGAGGACGUCACGUAUGUGGCUUUUAUAUUUAACCAUUUAAAAUUUUCAAAAAUUAAUAUUAAAAUUAAAUAUUCAUUUAUAUUGAUUUAAAUGAACUUAAUAAUGUGGUUAAAAAAUAUUUUCUCUUUUAAGUUGCAAAGGAAACUAAAAACAAAAAAUUAGGGUUUAAAGCAUAGAGAUUUUCUUUUGAUUCAAAUAUUCUAUUUAAUUUUGAGCAACAAAAUGUUUACCGAUUCAAAUGAAAUACAUUGAUACUGUGAUGCUUAAGUUAACUCUAAUCUAAAAGUCUCUCUCAUAAACCCAAUCAAUCCAAAUUUUGGAUUCUCUAUUUAACCAAAUUAAAAAUGCGAUUUUAGGUUUAUCGAGUUGUUUUUUAAAAUUUCAAGAGAUAAUGAUUGCCUUCUAUUAGAAAGAAGAUUAAAUGAUUGAAAUCGGAAGAAUUACAUUUCUGGAAAAUAUUUUCCGGUAAAAUGAUUUUUGGAAAAUGAUUUACAUUUCUGGAAAAUGAUUUACUGAAAAUAUUUUCUGGUGUUUGGAUGAAUCUGUGUAAAAUAUUUUCUGUUGUUUGGUAGUUCCUGAAAAUAUUUUUCGGAAAAGUUGUUUUUACAUAUAUUAAUAAAAUUAUAUACAUAUUAAUAAUUUUUUAUAUUUUAAAUUGUUUUUUCAUAUAUUGCAAUAAUUUAUUUAUAAAUAAAUAAAUCAAAUUAAAUAUAUCAAUCAAAUGGUUUAAUUGUUCAAGAUUGACAAUAAUCCUAUAAGAUUCAUUCACAUCACAUGUAAAUGGUAAAAACUAAUCAACAUAUUUGUAGUUUAAUAACUAAGUAGCAGCAGCUCGUCUAGUAAUGUAUUGAAGCCGAACAAUAUAUAGAACAUAUAGAAAAAUAUCUAAUCUGAAAUGAAAAUGCACUUUCAUCCACAAAAGUGGAUCAUAUCUGAUUGUAUCUAAUGAAAAAUCCCAAUACAAAAUGAAAGAUAAGGUUGGUGUUUGCAGUGUUAACCAUAUCCUUAGGCAUUCCAGUGCCAUUGUAGAUCCAACAAAUGCCAAAAAGUUAAAAGUUUAGUACAUGAGCCGCUCCUUUCAGAACAAAGAUUUAAGGAUCAAACAAUACCUACUAAAGGAAUCAUACAAAGAUAGCUCUACCCGCAAAUGACAAAUGCUUAUCUCUAUCCUCAUUGCUCAUCAUUUCACUUUCCUUUUUUCUUGCCCUUUUCAAAUAAUAAAAUUGUUACAAUGGCAGAAAGGAACUGGAGAAAAAAAUUCAUGAUGUAACGAGAUCAGGUGUUUCAGCCUCAAUUGAUAACCAAGCAUAUUGUGUACUUUUCCCGUCCAAUUAUCCAACCAGUCACGCAAUCUAUUGAUCUGUGGAAUUCCCAAAACUCGUGGCUGCACCCAAGAGACAUGAAUUGUUCCCUCAACUUGAUCAAUUAUUCCCUCAAUCAGACGAACCUGCAGUCAUUAUUUUCAAAAAGGUUAUACAAGUUAUCUUUAGAAUUUUGAACCCGCUGAAGUAUAGCUAGUUGCUACAUGCAGGCCAUGGAUCAAAUGUAUACAAUGGUGCAUCAUCCAUAUGAAAAAUUGAGACUUGGACUUCUACAAAUGUUCACUAUUCAUAAUAAUUUGGAUCUAUAGGAACAACACUCAACUUUACAACCUCAUAAAGCAACUUACGGGCGACAGUUUUUACAGACUUUUUUUUCAGAACAGAUUCAUUUACCAUUGAACCAUUCACGUAAUCAAAACCAUAGGCCACUAGGACAUGCAUAACAUCAAUAGUUCGCGCCUCAUCCUCUUUGUUCGUCAGAAGGUAUCCUCUCUCGCAAGAAUUCCUCAAACUGCAGGAACUACAAACUUGAUUCACAAAACAAUUUAUCACUAUCGAAAACAGAAAGAAAGAAUGGCAAUCUUCUGCAUAAAAAAACCGCAAAAUUGAAAUAUGAAGAACACCAAAAAGAAAGCAACAUUAUAUAUUAGUAAACAAAAAAGGAGUAAAAGAAUCAAUACUUACAUCUCCUUCAUCAAGGUGGACACAUUUCCUCAAGAGUUUUACAGAGAAAACCACCUUCUUGUCAGCAUUCGGGCAACCAAAACCAACCAAAAUUUGAAUAUCCUGUCUCGACAAUGACCUGAAAUCAACUUUCUAUUUCAGAGCCAGGCAAACUAACACUAAUCAAAACAAGUGGUUCAAAAUAAGUCCUUCCAUAAACAAUUUUUUCAUAAAUUGAACAUAUUAAUUCAGCCAAAGAAGCAGAAGACUGCUAAAGAGGGACCAACAUUGAUACAAGCAGUUUGCACAGUCUUGUAGUCCUUAAAAUCAAUUCCAGCAUCAUCCUUGACUUCCUCAACAACAUUAGUCAUAUCAAAUCCCAAGUAUUCCACCAUCUUCUCAUCAUCUCUUCUUUUAUGAUCAAAAUAAUUUUGCUGCACUAAUCUCUCCAUCAAUUCUAUCCAUUCAGGCCAUGGGUGCACCAUCUCCACCUCCACCUUCUGUCCCUUAUUCUGCAUUUCUGACUCGCCCAUGUAACACCCCUUACCCGUAUUCCUGAUCGGAACAGAGUAUGAGGUAAUACUAAAUUUUUUUUUAAAAAAAUUUCGACAGCAUUUCUGCUUAUUUUUGCUUAAACCUCCUGCAAGUUUUCAAACACAAUUCAAUAUUCCAACCAAGUUCAGUUGUAUAAACAUACACAGUUUAACCAUUAAUAAACACUACAUUUUAAAUCGAACCAUAACAUAUAUUUACAUGGUGACUCCACAUUACAUUAGUCGUCUAUACAUGCCAUAAUUUCCGGAAUACUAGUAGCAAAAUACCCAAACGUGGAUGAUAGUGUAGAUGAUUGUCUGACUCCGUUCCAAUUCCGAGUUGAUGGAAAUCACUAUAAUCAAGGGAAAAAUAAAAACGAGUAAGCAUAUAGCUUAGUAAGUAAACAUAUGACAAAUAAGUAAAAUAUAAAUUUAUUCACAAAUAAAUUUCAUUGUUUGUGUAAUUUCCAGCAAGCUGGUUUUCUGCGUCAUGACCACUAAUUUAUUUUUAUCCAGAGCUACAGGGCUCCAAAUUGAAUUCUGUAAAUUUUCCCUGAAACUAGACCCAUAUAUAUUUCUAUCAUAAAAUUUUCAGAAUUUUUUAUCAAGCCAAUUAGUACAGUUUAUUCUUUAAAUCUUCCCCUGUUUCCCUGCCCGACAGUCCUGACCUCCCCUUACAAAAAUUUACAUAAAUCUCUGUACAAGUUUCAAAAAAUGUUCACGUUUGUUUCUAUUAAAAAUAGACUCAAAAAGGAAUCCAGGCAUAUAGAUUUCAAGCCAUAAUUAUUUUUUUUAUAAUUUUUGGUGAUUUUCCAAAGUUGGAACAGGGGAUUCCGAAAUCAAUCCAGCCCUGUCUCAAAUAAAUCCAAAUAUCCCUAAAUAUACAACUCUUUUGCUUCCUCUGUUUCUUUCAUAUGAAAAUAGACUCACUCAGCUUUAAUUUCAUAUAUUAUUAAACCUCCAAUUCAUUUUCCACCAUUUAUGGUGAUUUUUCAAAGUUGCCCAACUGCUGUUGUUCUAAACAUGUUUGUAUUUAAAUUGUUUCUUUUGUACUUUUGAUAUUUCCUCCCAUCUUAUACAUGAGUUGAUUAAGUAUCAAACCCAAUAUUCCUCCCAUAACCUUGUCCACCAUAUGCAUAAAUAUUCACCUUCCCAAUUUACUCGUUGAACACUCGGAAUGUUAACCGUUAUCGGUGGAUUCAGCACUUAGCAACCACCAAUGAGUCGGGGAAUCAGCACUUAGCAACCCUUUUCACAUUUAAGAUACGGUGGGUUCAGCACUUAGCAACCACCAAUGAUUCGGGGAAUCAGCACUUAGCAACCCCUCGGGAGAAUCAGCACUUAGCAACUCCCUUUACAUUUAAGAUACGGUGGAAUCAGCACUUAGCAACCACCAAUGAGUCGGGGAAUCAGCACUUAGCAACCCCUUGGGGGAAUCAGCACUUAGCAACCCCCUUCAUAUUUAAAAUACGGUGGAAUCAGCACUUAGCAACCACCAAUGAUUCGGGGAAUCAGCACUUAGCAACCCCUCGGGGGAAUCAGCACUUAGCAACCCCCUUUUUAUUCAAUGUAAUCCGGCCUAUUCCGAGUGUUCAACCGGAAACCGUGUUUUUCAACACUUUACCACCUUUCCCCACUUAGCCACAUUUUUUUUGAAUCUUUGCCAAAUAUUUAUUCUAUGUUCAAAUAAAUCUCAACACAUAUCAAAUAAUAUCAAAAAAAUGCAUUAUUUCACAUGUUUACUUACCUCGGUGUAAAAUAUCGCAAUUUUGUAAUUUACUCCACUAUCUUCUCUUUUCCCCGUUUGAGGUAGUCUUCUCGUCUAUCUUGAUCUAUAAUGGCAAAUUUAACUCAUUUAAUGUUCACAUUUAUUAAAAUAAUCCACCACCCAACUUUUUGAAAAUUACAAUUUUGCCCCCAAACUUUUGCAUAAUUACACUUUUGUCCCCAAGCUCGGAAAUUAAACUUCAUCUCUUAUUCUUAUGUUUUAUGACAUGCUGAACAUUUUUCCCUUCUAUGGAAACAUUAAAUUCCCACUCUAACACAUACUUUUGAACAUUAAUUAUUUUUACCGAUUAUGUCUAUUUACCCGUUUUCGCUUAAAAUCGCUUAGCAAAAGUUGUUUAACAUAAUUUAUAGCUUCAUAUUCUACCAUAAAACAGCAAAAUAAACACAUUUCACCUAUGGGUAUUUUUCCAAAUAUGAACCCUAACAUGAAUUAUUGCUAGAAUAAGCUAAAUUAAGCUACCGAGACUCCAAAAACGUAAAGAACAUUAAAAACGGGGCUUGGGAUCACUUACUAUGGAGCUUGGAAGCUUGAAAACCCUAACUAUGGCUUCCCCCUUGCUGAUUUCGUUCACCAUGAAGAAGAUGAGCAUAUUUUGCCAUCUUUUUCCCAUUUAAUUCUAUUUAAUUACCAAGUGACUAAAAUGCCCUUACUUAAAAAAAUCUAUUUCACUAAUUCGAUGCCCAUUUUUGUCCAUCAACUAACUACUGGUCUAAUUACCACAUAAAGACCUCCAAUUUAAAAUUUCAUAACAAUUAGAUACCUCUAAGAUGUAGAACUCAACUUUUGCACUUUUUACAAUUUAGUCCUUUUGACUAAAUUGAGUGCCCAAACGUCAAAAUUUUCGGACGAAAUUUUUACGAAAUUUUUCCGUAAAAUUUUAGACCAUAAAAAUAUAAUAAUAACCAUAUUUUCCCUCAUCGGAUUUGUGGUCCCGAAACCACUAUUCCGACUAAGCCUAGAAUCGGGCUGUUACAGCUCAACUUAGUCACUGAAUCAGUACUCAAAACACCAACUUCAGCCUCACUUUUAGCAUCCUCAGCACUUUCCUUAUUCUCCCCAUACUUGAAUUCCCUCCAAGCAUGAAUCCUCUAGAAAGCACCUCCGUUGGGUAAGUCAGUUAACUCAGGUGAAUCAGACAAAGCGACAUCGUUUUUGGCACUACCAGAAUCAGAAUUUGUCGCCUGUAAGACUCUUUAUCUGUAAAUGAUUCCAACAGUCAUCAUCUCAAACAUAACAAAAUAAAAAACAUCAAAGCAAAGAAAUUCAGAAGGGAAAAAAGAAAAAGAAAAAGAAAAAAAACUACAACAAUGGAAGUUUCAACAAACAAUUUGGAUUUUCUGGAAUCAAAUCAGUGAAAAUUAAACAGAAAAAAUGUUUUCUGGAAUAUUCAACAAUGGAAGUUUCAACAAACAAUUUGGAUUUUUAAAAGAAUUAAACAGAAAAAAUACUUGUUGAUGACAGAGAGAGAACCAUUGCUUCUGGGUCUUCUUUUCUUGACUGUGGCUGCUAAUUUUUUAAGGUUUCUUUAAAAUACAAGUAAGGCCGACGGUUGACGGAGAUGGUGAGGUGAGGUGACAAACGGAGAUGAGGAGGCAGAUGAUGUGGAAGAAAAUUUGCUUAGAAGAGAAAGAAGAUUGCUUAGAAAAGAAAGGAGAAAGGGAAAAUGUCUUACGGAUUAGAAAUCGGUAAGACAAUUUCCAAAAUUUUACUUCGGAUUUUACCCGUGUUUCCUAUGGAAAUCAUUUUACACAAAACAAACACCGGAAAUGAAUGAAAAUGUUUUCUGGAAAACAUUUUCCACCAAACAAACACUCCCUAAAUUACUCUCAAAUUCAAUUACUAUACAAAACUUGAUUUAGUAAAAAAUUCAACUAAGUCAAUGAUUACUUUAUCCAAAUUCCAAUCUAUUUUUUUUCAUUUUCUUUGUUAUUUUUCCAUUUCCCCAAUAUAUUUUAUAAUUGAAUGGUUAAAUAUAAAAACCACAUAUGUGGCAUCCUCUCAUUCGCACUUCAUGGGAGUUUUUUUUUUUUAGUAAAAACCAUAACGAUUUAUAUUUUUAGGUAUUUAAUUGGGCUAAAAAAAGUUUAAGUGUUAAUGUGAGAAAAGAAUAUUAUGAAUUAAACCUGUAUAAAAUAUUAUGCUCAAAAUAUAAUAGAGUAAAAUGUAAAGUAUUAUUACUUUUAGUUGUUGUUAUUACCAUGAUGUUUUAUUAUUUUGGUAUUAAUAAAUAGGGUAAACGAUUCUAAUAGUUAUUUAAUUAUCAAAAUUUUUAUUUUAGGUAUCUAAAAAAAAUUGUAAUUUAAGCACCUAUGUUACAUAAUUUGGCUAUUUUAAUCACUCGUUAAAAUCACAAAGUGCAAGCUGAUGUUGCAAUUAAAAAAUCGACAUAAUAACAAACUUAGUCCUUAACUUUUUCAUAUUAUAUAGAGAUGAGGUGGGGAGGUGAGACACGAGAGGAGGAAAGGGAGAGGGAUGGGGUGGGGUGGAAAGGAUUUUUAUUUUAUUUUAUAUUAAUAUAAUUUUUAUUUAAUAUUUAUAUUAUAUAAUUUUAAAUUUAUUAUUGUAAUUUAAAGAAAAAUAUAUUUUAUGUAUUUUUAUAUUUUUUUAGAUUUAGGAUUAGGGUAGUUUACCUUAUUAAAUAUUUAGCUUAAAUUUUAAUAUAAAUAUAAAAAAAUAAUUUAUGAUAAUCCAUAAUUAAUAUUAUAACAUAUGAAAUAUAAAAUUUAAAUAUGAAAUCACAUUUAUUCUUUUAUGGUUAAAAUAAAUUAGCUAUUUGUUUAAAACUACGUUUAGUUUGGUUUCACUUGGAAAUCACUUUUGAAUCUCACCAGAAACAAAGGCUUAGGCUUAGGGUGGGUUUUUGGUUUCACUUGGAAAUCACUUUUGAAUCUCACCAGAAACAAAGGCUUAGGCUUAGGGUAGGUUUAGAUUGGCGAUUGGGUGUGGUGCGGUGCGUUUACUUUACUUUUUGUCUCACGCUACAGUAUCGCUAUAGUAUCUAAUCUCACCGCCACCGAUGUUUUUACACUAACUGCAUGUAAAUGCACCGCCCAUCCAAACUCACCCUUAGUUUGGAUGAGCGGUGUGUUUACCUCCGAUGAGGUUAAAAAUAGUGGUGGCGGUGAGAUUAAUUACUAUAGCGGUAAGAUUGGAUACUGUAGCAGUGACAUUAGAAACAUCGGUGUAAUGUGUGUUUGGAUUUAAAUGCAGUUGUAAUGGUGAGGUGAAAAUAGAAAAUAAUUUUUAAGGACAUUAUAUUAAAAAUGAUAUAUAAUAGAAGUUUUUAAAAUUAUUUAACAAUUACAAAAUUAAUAAAUGAUUAAAAAUUAUUACAAUUAUAUUUAUUUUUAAUAAUAAAUAAUUAAAAAUGAAUUAAAACUCGAGAAAAAUUCAAAAAUUUAUUUUAUUUAAUAUUUCAAAAUUAAUCAUAUAUUUAAUUAUAGGGGCUUAAUUCAUUAUUGAAAUUAUUGAGCCUUUAGAAAAAUAAAAUAUUAUUGGAAGAUAAAAUAAUAAAGCAACUCUAGAAUAAGAAAUAAAAGAAAUAAUAUAUGGGUAAAAGAAGAAAAGAAAAAGCAACUGAAGUUGCUAAAUUUUUACUGGACCAAAAGGCUUCAGUCUGGAAUUAAGCCUCCAGUGAGGUGAAAUGCAUUUUCAACGUAUUGAAGAAUGCUUUCCAAACAGCCUUACGUUUACUAACAUUUCAGUUGCAAUGUUUUUUAGCCUAAAAAAGCAAACACACUGAGACCCGAUUGCAUCUAAAGGAAGCCCUAGACAAAAACAGAGGGAGUAGAGUACAUUUCCCUCCCCCUCCUGACCGGCGAAGAAUCCAUCAGCGGCGGAGGAGAGAAGACCCAGCUGCCCUAACAGUUUUGACAAGAAAAGAGAAAGCAAAACACGAAAACAACUGAGAAAAGAAAAAGAGAAUAGCAACCGGAGUAGAGGAAGGGUGAGCGGUGCUGGCCAAAUAGCCGGACACGUGACAAAAAUCUGUUUCUGUCUCUGGUGGCAAAGGAGAAGGAAAAUAAAUCUGAGUAUUAGGUUGAUUAUCGUCCGGAAUUAAUGAGAUGAAUUUUCUGUAAAAAUGGUGGUGGGUUGAAUCAACUAUUCUUUGUCCAGUUUUGCCGAUUGUAAUUAGUUACUGUUAGGAUGAUUUUAUAGCGUUACUUUUUAAGCUUUCAAUAAUAAUAAUGUGUGACUUCAUAUUUUUUAAAAGAUUUUUUAAUUAAUAUCAUACGUAUACGGUUUCUAAUAUUAGAUUGUUUCGUUUUAAUAAUAUUAAAUCUUAAUUAGUGUUUAUUAUUUAGCUAAAAUUUAUGUAAAAAAACUUAAUAAAAUAUAUAAAUAUAAGGUUUAAGAGUUUUUUAAAACUAGAAUUUUAAGAUUUAUAAUUUAGGGAAAGGGUUAGACUAGAAUUUAGGAUCUAAUGGUAUUAGACUUUUAUAUGAAAAAUAAAUUAAUAGUAAUAAAAGAUAAUUUGAUAAUUUUUGAUGUAUUAUAUUAUUUGUGCACUCUAAAAAAAUAUAAUGUGGCACGUUAUUAUUGAAUGUCUAAAAAGUGAAUUUUUAGGAUAAUCCUAAUCUAAGUUAAACUCUUAAAAUUUUACUUUAAAUUCAAAUUUUAUUAAAUAAAAUAUUUUACCUUGAGAAUUAAUUUGUAAGAUUUCAAGCAUUCAAUCGUCGGUUUUUCUUUCUUUUAUCUUUGAUAAUAUAUGAUCCAUUUAUCAAUUUUAUUAUUUUUUUCUCCUAUUAUCCAAUCUCUUCAAAUAUAACACGAAAAAUCCAAGAGAUCAAAUUAGAGAUCCACCUUGCACAGAUUUUUUAUAUUAAAUUAAAUCAUUAUUAAUCACUUUAGAAAUGACUCUCAGUUCUCAGUUGACUAUGUUUUAGUAUAUAAAUUUUUUUUUUGAAAAGAUAUUUUUUUUCAAAUUUUUUUACUUAUUUUUCUAAUUUCAAACAACUACUUGUUUAAGAACCAAAGCAGGCAUAAAUGCUGGAGUGCGAAGUUUGAAUCAUAGUUAUUGAUAUCGCAUUGAUACUGCUGGUGCCGCAUGGUAGGAUUUAAACUUUCGAUAUGUUUGGGCUGUUUUUGAUCCAUUAGCAUUUCCAUGUCAUGCUCAUAUUGUAUUCAAAAUAGUCAAAUCAGCAGGGAGGAUGAUGAACCAGAAAUAAACAACCAAAUAACAGGAAGCUAUAAUUCCAUUCAUCUAGACAAUUUCUGAAUAUUGUCAAUAAAUGUAUCUCAUAAAUAUAAAACGGAACGGAAAGUGAAAAAUGGGGAUUGUGUAAAGAAUGGAAAAUUAUUGACCAUCUUCUUUCUUCCCCAAAACGCAAUCUAGCCUAACUUACAGGAGACUUAAGGAGGUGGAUCAAUUGAGAGAUAAAAUAACCUGAGAUAUCAGCUUUCGUACUUGCACAGGUUCUCGAAUCCCAUGUACUCGUGCCGCUCGAUUUUCCCGAUCAUGUUUGAUAUGCCAACACCACCUACCAAAAGUAAGCCAAGAAUUGUUUUUUGACAAGUUUGAAGCCAAAAAAAACAAAAGUCUGUCAAAACAAUUGGAGGAAUAUCUAAGCUCACCUAGUGAUAUUGCACUGACAAAUAUUGUGGAGGCUAGAAUGAAGAUGAUCAAAGAUGCCCUUCCAAAUAAAAUUAUCAGCUUUCGGACAACAUGCUGUCCGAUAAAGGCAGCAACUGUAGCUACCCCAGUGAAGUAGAGAGCUGCAAAAUAAAGUACGGAAUUCGUAAUGUAACUCCAGGGAAAAUGUGGAACAACGAUAUGUUCAUGUAGACGCAACAUCCCUUGCAGGUUUCAAUGUUCCCUUUUAUUUCAAUAAUAAAAUUAUCGCACUGUUGAGAUACCAACUUACCGUAAGGUACUGGAAAACGCUUCAGAAGGUAAUAUUCUACAACAGACAUGGACGAGGAAAAUGUCAUGGCAAAGGUAGCUGUAGCACUUGAUACCUGCAUGGAAGUUGGUAGGAAGCCAAAAGAACAAAAAUAACAAACAUUGGAUCAUCUUCAAGGUCAUAAUGAGACAAGAACUGAUUUUCCCUCCAAUGUGAUCAUCAUUCCAAUUAACAUAUGAAGGAUAAACUUCAAGGCUAUGACUACACAUUCAAAGGGCACAAAGAAACUCACUUGAGGAGGGACACCCAACUCCAAGAAUAGUGGACCCAUGAUAAAUCCUCCUCCUAGGCCAAGUAGACCGCCGACAACUCCAGCUAGUACUCCAAAAGCACAGUAGGUAACAAGCUGGGCUACUCGAAAACUUGUGCCAUCUUCUCCCUUGGAUGCAAUUACUCUAUACCCUUUAUAGAGACUAACUGCCUCGUAUAGAGAUACCCCAAGUGAAACUGGGAUCUGGACAGAAAAAGGAUACAUUCAACCAGGUCUCAAAGAAAUCAUUGUGACGAGGAUCAAUGAUGAUCCUCAAUGUCAAACAAUUAUAUCUAGAUCAUGCCAGUCAGCAUUGCAAAGAGGCAAAAAAGAUAGAAUGUACCUGCAGCAAGUUCAACACCCAAUACAAUGCUGAACAAGUAGUUGUAUUAUUCUGUUGCCAAAAGUCGUGUUCAUCAGUUAUGCCUCAAUGAUUCAUAUUCUGUUAAAUAUUUGAACCAUAAAAAAUGGCAGAGGAAAUAUAACCUUGGUAAUCUGCAGUACAAGGAAUGCAAUCCAAACGAAACAAAGGAGUCCAAGUUCUUUCCAACAAACAUUCUCCAAAAUAGAGACCUGCAAUGGCGGUGUUAUUAAUAUUGAAAACAAAAAGGAACUUGGUAACAGCAGAUUACAAAGUCGACCUACUUCUUUAUCUGAGUCAUCCUUAGGAGGAUCACUGCUUGGGCCACUAGGAAGAGGCUUGUAUUCCACAUCUCCACUACCAGUUUCUGAUAUCAUAUGACAAGUAUAUGGGCUCAGGUCAGAACGAAAAGCAUGAGGAAAGGAUCACCAAAUGAUCUUAAGAACCAACUAAAGGAAAAAAAACAAAGUAAACAACUGACCAGUUGGUUCCAAACGCCUAGCGGCCUCCUAAAAUCCAAGAGAAGAAGCUUUCAGAUAGUUAGCAAUUAAUUUUAAUAAUAUAAACACAACACACACUGAAUGAGAAAGUCACUUCAUUGUUUUUAGUAGAUUAAGCAGCAAAAAGAUAAAAUUCUGAAAGAAAUUAUCCAGAAGUUGUCAGCGCUUAUGGUAUUCUGAAAUAAAAAAUCCUUGAAAUCUUUCAACUGGCCAUCGAUGAAAACAGAAAUAAAUUAUUUUAAAAGUUUUGACAAUCGCUGCACAUCAGUAUGAGUGAAUGAGUUAAAAGAAAUCACCUUUUUCAAUAUGGUUUCCUUUUUCCACGUUUCUACACCCUUGAAGAAUGCCUUUGUUGAUGUUCCUGCAAACCAUCCGAUUGAUUGAAAUUAAAGAUCGUUCUACAAGAACAUUAUGCCCAGCAAACGCAACACUAAAUCAGCCAACCGUUACCUAGAAAGAGAAUAAUAAGUAAAACUGUGACCAUCCAAUCUGCAAAGAGCACAUUAAAAGUGACUCCAAUGCUAAUUCCCAUCAUGAGCAUUGGCUGGAUAAGAAGAGCCAAAUCAUAAUCAAUGAUAGGCAUAUCCAGUGUAGGAUGCCUUAGCUUAAGGUUGUAGUAAACAGUUGAAGCUGCUGCACCCAUGAUCAUACCUAGGAAAAUGCCAAAAAAACACAUAAAGCAUAAACUCAUCUAUAUUAUAUCAGGCUCAUUCGUUUUGGUAAUCACUGACUAAUACGAUUCAGAAUUCUCACAUUAAUGCAUUUAUAACUCAUAUAAUUUUAUUCGAAGCAUCAAAUCAAAAUACACCUAUUUAUUUCCCUUGUUAGUGUUGGCUAGGAAAUUCCAAAAUCUAGGAAUCGAAGUUAGCUUACAAGCAAAACCGUAGCUGCGAUUUUCAAUUACUGAAGUAUGGAUCAACACAAAAAUAAAGAUGAGUAGAUUCCUUUCUUUUAUUUUCUUUAAAACCAAACUCAGUGUUCUGAUACAGCAACAAAAUCUUUUAAUAAAUUCCCAUUUUUUUUACAUUUCAAGUGACCUCCUGCACCUGAGCUAUACGCUUAAGCUCAAGAACAAAUCAAACUAGAUAAGAAAAGGUGUUUAAAUAUAUACAUACAUAUAGACAGAGAGAGAGAGAGCGAGCGAGAGAGAAUGAUAAGAAAGAGUUUGUUAAAAAGAACAUAUUGAAGAAAUCCUUUUCUCUUGAUUCUUGAAAAGUGAAAUUGGUAAACAUAUUAACUAAAAGGAACACUUUACCCAGAAGAAACACGGUACUUUUUUUUUCCCAGUUUUUCGUUAUUAUUUGCUUCAUAAAAAUUUUCACCAUUUUCUUUAUCUCUCCUAAACAUUAAAAAAGCAGAAGAAGAAGAAGCUUAUUUGAACAUAAACAUCGGAUUCAAAAAACUUACAUUUCGAAAUAGCUGUGGAUGAUUUUGCAUCAAACCCAAUAAUAAGGCUAAGCAUAGGAACAAAAAUGCCACCUCCACCAACUCCACCUACACUCCCAAACGCUGCUCCAAAGAAUCCAAUUAUACUUCCCAGCACAAUUUGCCAAUUAAAUUCCAUUUCCUAUUCCCCGAAAAACAUUAAUCAAAAAGGUUAAAAAGCUAUAAACUAAGAUUAAAAAAAACCCAAUUAAAGACGUUAAAACAACAACCCAGCGAAGUGAAAAGGAAAACAUUUUUAUGAUUUGUAAAAAGGAAUUCUAAUGGUGUGUAUAUACUUACAGGCCAAACAUGGUGAUAACCUGAUUCAUCAGAUUGCCACAAGAAGUUAAUAGCUUUGAGGAAAUAAUUAUUGUUUGUUUCAGACUCCUUGACAGAUUCUCCAUUCCUCAAGCUUCUCUCAGCUGAAACUAGCAUAAAAGCUACACCAAAAUUGAAGAAAUUCAACAUUAUCGACCUCAAAACACUCGGUUUUACACCAAAUUUCGCCAUCUUGAUAGUAAAACUCGACCAACUUUUUGUUUUUGACACUCUCGCUCUUCUAACAAAACAAAUAAGACACCUUUUUUGGUAUCAGAAUCUCUCCUUUUCUACCGUUAGCUGAGAAAAGAACAACGUCAAAAAGGAGUUCAGUUUCCAAGGAUGCAAAAUGGAUGAAAACAAACAAGAUUAGAUUUAGGGAUUCAAAACCAAAAAUAAAAACGAUUGUAGAGAGAUGAUUUUUUCGGAUUUGAGAUUUGGAAAAAGAAAACGUGAACGCAGAAAAUGAAGAAAAGAAUCACAAUUCUUCGGCACUACGACUCACGUCUCUGUUUUUCUCUGUGAAAAAAGAAAAAUGACUUUCUAAACAUAGCCCGCUCGAGAAAUAAAUACACAAUAAAGUGGAUAACAAUAAAACUGAGAUCUUUCUCUUUAAAUUUUUAUCAUUAAUUUUCUUUGUUUUGACGCAGUUUGUUUGCAGUUAGGUAGGACUUGGAUAGGUUGCCUAUUUGCCCCAUUCACCAUUCGGGUGGACCUCCAUAUCCAUCUCGCCCGUUCUAGAGGUGCUCAUGGCCGGUCGGCUCGGCCCGAUAGCCUGCCCGAAAUAUAGGAGGAUUCGGGUAAAAUAUAGGCCCGAAAUAUAGGUUUAGACGAAAAAAUGAGGCUCGUUUUCUCAGCACUUUUUCAGCCCGGCCCGAAUAUAAUAAUUUUUUUUAUUUUUAAAAUAUUUUUAAAAUACUAUUUUAUUUUUUAAAAUUUUUUUUGGUGUUUAUUUAAAAAAUGGGCCGGGCUGGGCUCAGGCUUAUAUUUUUCCGGGCCGGGCCAAAAAAUUUUUCUCAGCCCCGCCCGACCCAUGAGCACCUCUAGCCCGUUCAUACAACAUUUUACUUUCCGUGUUAAUUUGGUUAAACUUAGCUAUUAGUCCUUUGCAAAAAUUGUAGAUUUAAUCUUGUAAUUUGGGUCUUUUAAUUUAUGUACUUUUCAAAUCAAAAGAUCAAUUUUAAGCUCAUUAGGUUAGGUUUUAUUUCCAAAAUUUAAUGCAGUAAACAUAUUUCCAUAUGUGUAAUACUACAUCGGUAGAGGUGCUCAUGGGCUGGCGCCCGGCCCGACGGCCCGCCCAAAAUAUGGGAGGGUUUGGGUAAAAGUAUAGGCCUAAAAUAUGGGUUUGGGCAAAAAAUGAGGCCCGUUUAGAAAAUGGGUUGAGCCUCGGGCACCACUUUUUUGGCCCGGCCCGAACAUAUAAUAAAUUUAAAUUUUAAAAUUUUUUAAAAUAAAUUUUUGGUGUUUAUUAAAAAAAUAGGUCGGGCUGGGCUCGGGCUUAGGAUUUUUUCCUGGGCCGGGACUGGACAAAAUUUCAGGCCCAUAUUUCGGUAGGGUCGGGCUCGGCCCGGCCUAGGACACGGGCCAAAAUUUUUUCUAGGCCCGGCCCAUGAGCACCUCUACAUGUCGACUUGUUAUUUUUACGUAUUACUCAAAAUUUCAGUUAAUAGAUUAACAAGUGUUAUUUGCAUCAAGACUAAAAUUUCAAAAUUCAAAAAAUAUAUAGACUUAGAAUGAUCCUAUUGGAGAAUAUGGACUAAAUCUAUAUUUGUACGGAUAGUACGAGAUUGAAUUUAACCGGAUACUCUUGUUGUUUGGGCUAGGGCUAUAAUUUCAUAUUUUGAAAAGAAUAUGGACUAAAAUUGACCAAUUUUAAAAAAGUAUAAAAACUAAAUUUAAUCAAAUUAAAAGUAUAAUGAAUAUAUCUCUAAUUUUUACAAAGUACAGGGACUAAUUCAUAAUUUAACCUAUUAAUCUCUUUUUAUAAGUAGAAAGUUUGAGAAAAAGGACUGACUCUAAGGAAAAUAAAAUAAAAUAAAAGCAGGAAGGUCCAAAGUUCCGAAUCUCAAUUUAAAAAUUUCAUCCUUCUAAUUUCCGCCCGUCAAAUCUACAUAUUCCACUUACUCUUUUUAAUAAUUCAAUCAUUAUAGCUAUCAAGUUUAAGUUAAAAGAAAUAAAAUUUAUCUAUUUAUUUUAUAAGUCAUCCAAAUAUAUAAGUAGAUUUCUCUCUAUCUAAAAAAUUAGUAAUAUUAAAUAUGUUAAUAUAAACAAUAUUUUAAAUCGAUAUGAUAAAAAUAUUGUAUUAAAUAUAAUAAGUACAAUUAUAUUAAUAAAUUAAAUUAUUAAAAAAUUACUAUAAUCAAUUUAUAUCAAUAUAAAUAAAUCUCUACCUAAUAUUAUUUUGCGUUUACUUAAUUUAACAUUGACUUAGAUGACAAUAAUCAAUUUGUAUAAUACAAAAAUUAAUAACAAAUUCCACGCAAAUCGCUUAUAAUAAUAAAAUUUAACUAUUAUUAUUUAAAUUAUCACUACAAUUUUAAAAUUAAAAACAUGCAUAUAAUACAAAAAUUAAAAGAAGCCGUUGCUUUUGUUAGAAUGAAAUCAUGGCCCAAGCUUCUUGUCGUUAUAAAUCAAGCGGUAGGUUUUCAUUAAAGGCGACGAUAGAGAAAGAGUCUCCGUUUGCGUUUUAUUCAAUCAUAUCGUUGACAUUAAAUUUUUUGAGCAAAUCUUAAUCUUUUGCGUAGAAAAUUAAAUAAAAUGGCCUGCAUUAUUAGAUUUGAGGAGAUGUAUAAGUGCACGUAAUUAUAAAUAGGUGGGCAGGUGCCAGGUAGGGACAUUGAUUUAACUUGUAAAAUUAAGUGCUGAACCCCAUUCUAUAACAUAUAAUUGGGUCUCACUGUGCCCCGACUCAUAUAUUAGCCACAAACUCACAUCAAAUUGUUUAUAAAUUCCAAUUAUAACAAUUAUAAAACUAUAGAAAAUGCAUAUAACCGUAACCACCUGAAUGAAAAUGAACAUGAAUAAAUGCACAUCAAGAUUCAUCCCAUCAAUAUUCAAAAAUUACAAAUUUAUUUUAAAAUUAAUAUAUAUAUAAUUUAAAUAAAAAUCAUAUCUAAAAUAAACUUGGACAAUAAAUGUCAAAAAUCGAUAUACAUUUAUUAUUUUGAAAAUAUUUACUAGUUAACAAUAUUUUAAUAAAAAUAUUACUUACAUAUAUCUAAUUUAUUAUUUUGAUACAUAUAUUUAACUGAAAUUCAGUACACAUUUUAAUGAAAAAAAAUUGUUACUUAUUUUUCAUAAUAAUAAAACAUUAUUAAAGACACCAUUAAAUAAAUUCAUAUACAAAAUAUUUUCUAUUUUUAAAUUAUUAAACGUAAAUCGACUCGAUCAAUAAACUCUCGAUUGAUUUUUACCUAUUUAUGGUAUAAAUGUAGACUCUAAUUUUAUUUGAUUCUUAAUAAAUAUUGACUCUUACUAAAAUAUUAAUGGUAAGAUAAUAUAGUAUGCAAUACUUUAUUGAUUAUUAUAAAACAAAAUAUUACUAAGUGUGAAUAUUAUACCAAAUCAUAUAUUAAUAAAAAAGUAAGGUUAUUAUAAAAAGAUAAACCUAUUUUUAAAUACAAUUUUAGUAAAUUAUUUAAAAAAUAUUUUUUAAAUGAAUUUUAAUAUGUAUUGCUAAUUUAGUAAUUCUUUAAAAAUUGUGUCAUCUAUUUUUUUUUUAUAAAUAAUGUCCAUAAAUAAGUAAAAACUUUUAAUGAAUUUUAAAAUAUAGUACUGAUUUAUACGAAAUCCAAGAACCUAAAAAUAUCUUUUCAAAUUUUAUAAGAGUCUUAACUCUAUUGCCAUGGACAUUGCUGCCUUUGCACGAGAAUGUAGGCUCAAGUACGCUGCAACUCAUUAUUCUUUUAUUUACAGGUUGGAGACCAGUUUUAGCAUUGUUUAAAAAAAAACAGAUAUUAUUAAAAAUUGUUUAAUAUUUUUUUAAUCUUUUUAUGUAUUAAUUUCGUAAUUAAAGUAUUAAUAAAAUCUUAACUUAAUUAAUACAAAAUUUGAACAUAUCAUAUAAUACAAUUUAAUUGAUAUAUAUAUUCAAAGCCGCACCGGUAAAAAAUAGUUUCUUUUCUAAGGGUGGGUUUGGAUAGGCGAUUGGGUGCGGUGCGUUUAACUUAUUUUUUGUCUCACGCUACAGUAUCGCUACAGUAUCUAAUCUCACCGCCACUUCUGUUUUUACACUAACCGCAGGUAAACGCACAGCCCAUCCAAACUCAUCCUAAAUCAAAAUUAAUGUUUAAGUUAAAAUGGAGUCAUACUUUGGAAAUAUUAGUACCGCUGAGCAUGAUGCAUGAAAGCAUCAGAAAUCAAUAUUUAAUCAUUUAUUUUAUUGUAUAAAAAAAAACCAUUUAUUCUAUUGCCUUAGCGUAAUUCAACCCCGUGUUUGUCUCCGAUAUUAAACGAAUAGCAGUAAACGUCAGACGACACCGAAUGCCGCGAGGGAACAGAAAAUUAAUUUUCAUUUCCAUUUCUAUUUUGAUAUUAAUUUUCGAUAUUCUGAUAAGGCUUAAUUAUCAGGUUCAUUAUUAUUACUAGAUCAUGAGGUACUGUAAUUGAUAUGAUAAAAAUAUAAAAAUUUAUUUAUUGUUUUAUAAAAUAUUAAAAAUUUAUCGAUAACUCACAACUGAAUUAAGAUUAAUUAUAAUUUUAAGUAAUAUAUUUGAUAUUAAUCAAGAGGAGUAUAUAUUUAAGAAUGUUUGAUUUUAAUAAAUAUAUAAUAAUAUAAUCAAUAAAUUCUAUCUAAAUUUAAUAUUUUAUACAUCAGUUGCAUGUGUCCUCAUCACAUUCACAAAUCUCUGAUUUUUUUUUUUUACUCCAAGAAAAUUCAAUUUAUUGAUUUCAAUUAAAAAAUAUAUAUUUAUACAGCAAUAAGUUAGAUAAAUCCAAGUCUUGAAAUCCAUAUCAAGGGGAGACGACGACGUCUAAUAAAUUUUAACCUUAUUAGUACGAUUUACAUAAAUAUGUAAUCGGGCAGCUGAUCUCAGUCUGACUUGUAAUUUGUAACUACAUAUUAGUCCUUACCUAAUUGAUAAUAAAAAACAUAUAAAUUGGCUAUUAUAGUUGUACCAGUGUUUUCACUUAAUAUAUUAGGAACGGACAUUUCUGUAUCUGAUUUGUGAAUAUGAACAAAGGCUUCGCAAGUUGGAUAUAAAUAAUGCAGCAUGCCAUGGGCAUGGGAGAUUCAAUCAGCAUCUUAAUUAUGACAUUAAUGAAUAUUCUAUCUAUAAAAAAUAUUAUUUAUUUCUUCAAAUUCAAUAAUUAUAAAAAUUAACACGCCAAGUGCAAUUCCUUUUAAAUCUUUGUAAAAUCAGAAAUAUGAACCUUAAAAUUCAAAACAGACUCUAGCAGAAAUUUUACAAUAACAGUAAUAAUUAGGUACCAGUGGUUGAACAACUUGACAUUAAUAUCAGUUUUUAAUACCCAGAAAUAAAAUAAGAGUGACGUUUGAGACUGGAUUAAAUAGGAUGACUGACGACAGUGGCAGAUUAUUGCAGUUUAUAAAUUAAUUAACCUUUUUUAAAGAACUAAUUAUCUAAAUACGCCAACGAAGCUCGUUGGUUAGCGAAUGUCAUGCAUGCUACUUCACCAAACUGAUAUUAAAUUAUCAUAAAUUAAAAGACCUUUGGUGGAAGUCAUAAGAAGGAAAAUUUAUAGUCAAAGUAACAUAUAUUUGAAAUAAUUUAUAGUCAUAUUUAAUUAUCAUGUAUAUAAAUUCAAAACAAACCUACCCACUUAGGCUUAGAAAAAUGCAUUAUUCUUACUGCUAAACAGAAAAAGCUGGAUCAUUGGUCAUGUUAAUUAAAACCAUCUUCAACAUGCAAAUUUAUGUCAUUUGAACAUAGGGUGUAUCAGAUGCAUACUCACUAAAAAUAUGAAACUAUUAAUUAGAAAAAAAGAACUAUUUUUAAAUAAUUAUAAAAAUGAUUAAAAUAAAAUAAUAUUGACUAAAACAGCUGAAAUACAUAUGAAAUGAAACAUAGAGAUGAAGAGUAAAUAAGAGAAUCGACCACGUGGUUAGAAGUGAGGUUAAUAAUUGAGAUCCUAUCCAAAUUUAAUCGAGUACUUAUCGGACCCACCACUGUACGAAUACUGUUGAGUGUUAUCAACCACGGCUUUGCGUUUGAUGCCUCCGUCUCCGUUGGACCAUUGCUGUAACACACGUACUAAUAUUCCUCUCCUUCACCCCUAUCCUUUUCUUUCUUCGAUAUAGUCGAGUAUGCGGGAAGGUCAGCAAUCGCUUUCAAAAUGACCUGGGAUCCAUUUUUAUUUGUUCCACAUUUCCACUUGUGGGUUUCCCAAUUUUCACUCCCACAUUUUAAAUUAUUUGCGUUUCACACGAUCAAUUUAACCUUUCUCGGCACAAAUGAAAGAGUCAAAAAAGAUAAAAGUCAAAAAUUGUAAUGUUUCAACUACAAAAUGGAUAAGCAUUCCAAGUAAAAUAAUUAUAAGUUGGAUAAAGGAUAAUUAUUACGAUGGUAAUUAUGUCUGUUUUUUUUUAAUUUUAAAGAACUCUACUUAUAUAAUUAUAAUAUAUAAAAUUUAAAAAUAAUUAUUAUAAAAAUAUAUUAAUAAUCUUUUAAAAAAUUAUCAUAUAUAUGAAAUAUUUGCUUUCUAACAUUGAACAUAUAUAUUUAUUGUCAUAAUUAGUUAGUGAUUGAUCAAGUAUAAAUAAUUAAUAAUAAAUAUACAUCGAUUGAAUUUUAAUUUGAUUAAUAUGAAUAUUAUUGUUAGUACAAGAACACAUGAAUAUUUUAAAAUUAUUCAAAUGAUAUUAACAAAAUAACAUUAGUUAAUUAAAUUUAAAUAAAAUUAUUUAUAAUUAUCUCAAUUGACAGGCUCCAAUUAAGUGACGAGUUAAUCUAAAAUAAAUUAUUGGAUGAAUUUCCCAACUCACCGUAAUGUUUCAAGUACAAAGGGAUAGUCCAUUUUUGACUACCUUAUCAUCUGUUCACUUCAGUGUUUCUACAAUAUUAAACUCGUGUGCAUUACUGUUCCCCUAUUUAAUUCAAACUUUAUAUAGAUAUGAUGUGUGCAAAAUUUUGAACUGAUCCGCCAUUUUUGAAUUCUCUUUCAAUGGGUUCACCACGUGAAAUUUAAAGAAAAAACAAUGGUUCCACGUGUCUUUAAAGAAAUGUUUAUAAAACAAUGUUUGGUCUUAUAAUGGAAGAAAGGGUUAAAGUUAUAAUAUUGGUUUGAUAUUUUUAGUAGUAAUUUGGUUGAUUGGAUCUGGACUAAAUUUGCUGAAAAUGUCGAAAAGGAAAGUGGAUCUGGCUUUUUUUUGGGAUAUUUGAGAAAAUAUUUAGGCUAAAGUUGUACGACGAGUUUUUAUCUUCUUUCUUUAAAAUUAACUCAUUUUCUUAAAUAUCUCAAAAAAUAAUAUUUUUUUGGACAUCACUAGUUGCAAAGAUAGUGGCCAAGUGUUUGUGCAGUCGCAGGUAAUGAUGAACCAGACUUACAUUAAUUGAGAUGAUCCAAAACACUAAUCAAACAGAAUCAGAUUAUAUUAACAUUACAUGUGGGAUUUAGUGAUUGGUCACGGACGUUGCCAGUUCAUGUUGUAUAUAUAAUCCCUUUGCUUCAGGACAGUUAAGAUGGUCCGUUAUAUCAAGCGGUCCAGUAAUAUACCUUUUGCAACUUGUUCAUUAUUGCCCCAGUUGGAUCCAGUUCAACAUUCCCUUUUCCCUUUUGGGAUUUUUUAUUAAAGCACAUGCGAGGGCGGAGCCAGAGACAAAGGAAAUAGACGGAUUCUUUUUUGGCUUUACUGUGAAAUUCACGAGCUAGAAGUUAUAAAAUUAUUUGCUAAUUGCUUUCAAAUCCUUUAAAUUUUCAUAAUUUGAAUUCGUCCAAUAUUAUAUAUAUCUCUCUCUCCGCAUGUAAUCCUCGUAUUCGUAUAGUUGGUAUGAAAAAGAAAACUCAAACAAAUACUUGAUCUUUAAGAGGUUGUUUAAACGAGUACUUAUUGUUUCAAAACAAUCGAAUAAGGGUUUAAUGUUUUUGAAUUUGAUCAAACUAGUACCUAUCUGAGUAUUUGGAUUGUAUAUAUGCAUGAGCGAAGCUAAAUUUAUUUUUACGAGGGCCGAAAUUAAAUUUUAAAUUUUAAUAGUUUAUAUCUAUAUAAUUUUUAAAUGAUUAAAUUAAACUUUUAUCAUUUUUAGGGGGUAAAAAUCUAAUUUUACUAUUACUAAUUUAAAAUUUUAAAAUUUUUAAAAGACCUAAAUAAGUAAUUUUCCAUUUUAAGAGUCCGGGUGUGUACAUGGAUAUAUUUGUGGUAUUGAAAAUUUCACUAAUGUAACAUUCAUAAAUAAUGUAAAUUUUAAAUAUAUUAAUUCCAAUGUGUAUUUUAUAUAUAAAAAAACACACACAUUAUUUGAUGAACUCUUUUACACAAUAUUAUUAGAAUCUAUUCCUAAAUUUUAUAAGAAUCUUAAAAUUCAGAAAUUUCUCAAAUUUAUCAAAGUUUUUUUUGAAUCCAAAGAAAAGAAAAAAACUAAAUUAUUAACUUAUAUUGUAAUCUUAGACAACCCAUAACAUCAAUGCCUCAAAAAACCUAAUGUUUUGGCUCUUCAUCUUCAAGGUUAGUUAGCUUAUUUGUUUUGAAGUUAUGAAUUUAGAAAAAUAGUUUUUUAAGUGUUGUGUUGUAAUGGUCUCUUUGUUUGUUUAUGUUGUCGGUUCAAACAUAAAUAAAACAAACCAAAUUGCUUAAGGUGAAAAAAACGUGAUUCUUUGCAUCUUCAAUGCCACUUGAGUACACCGCAAAAUUCAUGGUUGAUUGAAGAGAGAUUUGGAUGCUAAGGUUUUACAAUGUGUUUAGUGGCCCUUUUACCUAAAUAGCCCCAAAAAUAUUAUAUUUAUAAAAAUAACUCAGGUUUAAAAAUAAUAUCCAAAAUAACCUAAAAUCAACCGUACUCACUCUUUUUUUGCACCAAUAAUUGUCUAAUCAUUGUGUCAGAAUUAAAAAAUUAUUUUUUUGAAUUUUAGCCUGUCAAUUACCGGAACCCAUGUAUUUUUUUUUAAAUUAUAUAAUACUGAUAUACAAAAAAGAAAAAAAGAAAAAAAAAUUUUAGAGUGCUGGCCUGUCAAUGGCCGGUACCAGUAAACAGUAAAAAAGAAAUUUUUUUCUUUUUUUCGUGUCAGAGUCAGAUAUAAAAAUACGAAAAAAAAUUUUAAAAUUUUUUUUUGGGUGCUGGCCUGUCAAUGGCCGGCACCCAGUGAACAGUAAAUUUUUUUUCUUUUUUUUCGUGUCAGAAUCAGAUAUAAAAACACGAAAAAAAAAAAUUUGGGUGCUGGCCUGUCAAUGGCUGGCACCCAGUGAACAGUAAAUUUUUUUUUUUUUCGUUUCAGAAUCAAAUAUAAAAAUACGAAAAAAAAAAUUAGGUGCUGGCCUGUCAAUGGCCGGUACCCAAAAUUUUUUUUUAUUUUUUUUCGUAUUUUUAUAUCUUAUUCUGACAUGUAAAAUUUUUUUUACUGUUCACUGGGUGCCGGCCAUUGACAAGCCAGUACCCAAAUUUUUUUUUUUCGUAUAUCAGUAUUAUACAAUAUUUAAAAAAAAUACAUGGGUUCAUGCCAUUGACAGGCCAAAACCUAAAAAAAUAAUUUUUUUAAGUCUGAUACAAUGAUUAGACAAUCAUUGGUACAAAAAAAGAGUGGGUACUGUUAAUUUUAAGUUAUUUUGGUGAUUAUUUUUAAAGUUAGAUUAUUUUUGUAAAUAUAAUAUUUUUUGGGCUAUUUGGGUAAAAGAGCCGUGUUUAGUAGAUGUUAGCUUUGUGAAAUUGGGGUCCUUCAAAUCUAAAAGGGAGGAGUAGAAAGAAAGCGCAAAUGCAAUGGAUUAAAAUUGGUUUGACGUUUGCAAUAAUGUCGUGACUGUAAGUUGUGUUUUCCCUUCCCAUGGCCGAAUUAGAAAGGACAAGAACAAAGGUGUGGAGAUUAGAGCUAAGGCUUAUCAGUGGCAUGGUCCCAAUGAAAAUUUCCCCGAGAGUAGUACUAGUACCGAUGCUUGAUGCCCCCACCAGGCAAGGAACUCCUCCAUUAACUGACUAAUUACGAAAACCGAUGAUCCCUAUUCUCUUUGGGCCUGGUCUUGUAGGCAGAUUAAAGGUUGUGUUUGCGCCUACACCAACUCUAGCAGGCAAGGUCCAGAUGAAACGAAAAAAGCCCAUUCGGUCUGAUUCGGCUCUUAAAUCUUUAAACUAACCCAGUAAAGACUUGGCUAGAGUCACUACUGCCUUCAUUUCAGCGACAGUUUUAUUUUCAAAGAAAUGGGGCAGUUUCAGCUUCAACAACAGAUCAUGGCACUGAAGCCAUAUCCAUGCACAUUCAUGUCUUUAGCUUCUUGUUAUAAACCCCCUAAACUUUUCAGAAUUCGUUUUUUCCCCGCUUUUCCCACACUCAAUGAAUCCAUCAAGUUUCAUCAUCUUCAUUCUCUGCCCCCCGUUCAACCCCGUUUGGUAUGCAAGAUGAAUGGCUCAGGUUAUUUUCUACUUUACUAAUCCUAGUUCUACGAAAAUAUCUAUUUGUAAUUUGAUUGUUGUUGUAGUUUUCUAUAAGGAAAAUCAUUUCCGUGCUGACUUCUAAACGAACUCUGUCUGCUCGGCAUUUUCCCGAGCAUUUAAUGUGCAACUGCUGAUAAAACUUUGUGUUCCGAGAAAGGGAUAAUGAUUUAUCAACCCAAUGUUCUUUUUAGAUAUUAUUUCGGAUCUAGAACUUGGAAAGCCAGGGGAUAGACGAAAACCCGAGAAGCGCGUUAAUGGAGUGUUUUGGAUUAUACUUCUGAAUCUUGGAAUAUAUGUAGCUGAUCACUUGUUUAAGGUACUCAUUUACUUUCUUUUUGGUUACUCUUUGUUUAUUAUCGAUGGGAGUUUUUCCUAAUAACAUCAGUAAUACGUAAAAGCUUUCUGCACUAAUUUUUGCCUACUGAAACAAAUGAAGUUUUGAAUGGUUCAAUUAUUAAUCUUCUUGACCCCCAAAGUUUCCCUUUCAAUAGGUUCAGGGCAUUCAGUCUCUAUACUUGUACCAUAAUUGGCCUGCUUGGUACCAAUUUAUAACGUCAACGUUUUGCCAUGCUAACUGGUAAGUUCUAUCUAUGAAUGCUGUGGAAGACCAAGUGUGAAAAUCCUUAAAUCUUUUGAUAAAUGAAUUGCUGUUAUUUUAUGCGUCUGCCUUCUCAUUUAGAUGUUCAUUAUUCUGCUUAUCAUCCUUAUUUAGGAAGCAUCUUUCGAGCAACCUUUUCUUCUUGUACAUUUUUGGUAAGCAUUUUGCUCAUCGUUGACUUGAGAAUGCUUGUAAUUUUGUACCCUUUUUACUUUGGAAGUUUGAUUGUAUCCUUUUUUAUAAAACAGGGAAACUCGUCGAAGAAGAGGAAGGAAGUUUCGCAUUGUGGCUGUCCUACAUUUUCACAGGUGCUGGAGCUAACAUCGUCUCGUGGCUGGUUUUACCAAGAAACGCAGUCUCCGUUGGUGCUUCCGGUGCGGUUUUCGGGUUAUUUGCAAUCAGUGUCCUUGUAAAGGUAAGCUAAAUUUAUCCACAAAUAUAGAGAACCAUACGAAUGAAUACUUUAAAUUUUUAUUGUUUCAAGGAAAAAUAAGUUGUCUAAACAUUGGAACAAAUGGAAUGACUCGACCCCUUUUGCUUGUUGUAAGAUGUCCUGGGACUGGAGAAAGAUCCUCGAGGUUCUCAUAUUGGGCCAAUUUGUUAUCGACAAGGUCUGAAAUUUUUAAUAGACUAGUUUUUAUUUCUUGUUCCUGAAAGAUUAUAUUGAAUCAACAGCUUCCUAAUAACGUUUGUGAUGUUGGUUUGGGGCAGGUGAUGGAGGCAGCCCAAGCUUCAACAGGCCCGUCUGGGUUUUCCUAUCCCUUGCAAAACGUCAAUCACAUUGCACAUCUCUCUGGUGCUCUUAUUGGUGUUCUUCUAGUAUGGCUUCUCAGCAAAAUUCCUUCUGAGCCUCUUGAUAAUGAAAUAUCAAAUUCUCCUAGAAAGAGAAGUUGAGGUUCUUAAGAGUUUCUAAAAAAGUUCAUCAAAUUGUGAGUUAACGUAUCAUUAUGGAAUGGUGAUUGAAUAGUAGAGGAGAUGAAAUGUGGCCCAAUUGCUUUAUACACGUAAAAAAUUUAAUGGUUCAACGAAUUUUGAAUACCUCCCAUAUAUGUAUACUGUCAUCUUCAAAGAAAAAUAAAGCAAGUAGACGUUUCUAAAGCUAAGCAUGACAUAGGAGUAAACCCAUGUUAUGUUAAUAUCUAAAUACGAUAUUGAUAAUAGACCCUUUGGGGAAUAACAUUUCAACCGCAGAAAAUAGAAAACAUGACAUGUAGAUGGGGCUGAACGAUCCUCAGUGUUGAGCAAGUAUAAGAUCACCCAUGGGUUGCAUAUCACUAUUUCAUACAACACAAAGGGAUAGAAGUAAAUUGUUAUGCAUAAUGAAAAUAAAGUCGUGAAAGCUCAUAAUAUAAAACAAAACUUCCCGUUUGUAGACAUUUGGUGAAAAAUAAGAAAGUAACACAGUUGAAAGAAACCCAAAAACCUAUCGUUUCUAAAUUCAGGAAUCUCUCUGAACAAAACGAAAACAUCACAAAUUAACUUACGAAGCAGCAACUGCUCCCUUCUUCCUUGGAGUUGCUUGAGUACCUGACAGACAGACAAUUCAACAACACCCCAUCACUAUAUGCUAUCUACCAAACAUGUUUUCAUUUUAAUCAACCAUGAUUGAAUACGAAAUAAUCAUAAAUACCUUCUGUAAAGCCAGUCUUGAACCUUCGGGGAACAUGUCGGAGGUACCUCAUGCGGCCAGUCCCGGUGGUCUUUCUUCUAAUAGCCUUCACGCUCCAGUUAUCUUAAAAUCAAUAACACAACACAACCCAAUCCAACAAAUUAAUUAAACAAGAAGAUAUUAAAACAAAAGGCAAUGUUCAGCAGACAAAAUGCCUUUAAAAAAACAAACACAUAAACCAUAUUUUCAGGAUUCUAUCUUUCAACCAAGCAAUGACACUCAAAGAUAACGGAAAAUGGUCUAUGAUCUGUUAAACCUAAAUCAAGAAAAUAUCUAACUUAUAAGUUUCAUUGGAUAUCAUCACUUAUCCUGAAAAUUUUCAUUUGCUAAAUUUAUCUAAGUUCAGCUAAGCAACUACCAAGAGAGCUACAAUGACUAAAAAUAUACGUCAGAUUUGGAAAAUCUAAAGAAAAGAAAAGAAAAGAAAAAUAAAGAUCUUACAUUUUCGGAUGCGACUGGCAGGGUAGCCACAAGCACCGCAACGGCUCUUCUGUAGAUGGAAGCUUCGGCGACCACAUCGAACGCACAGCGUGUGAGUCUUGUUCCUUCUCUUUCCAAAGCUUCCAGUUCCUUUUCCCUAUCCAAAAAAUGAAAACCUUUAAAGUCAUUUUCUAUUUCUUCUUAAAUGGCACGAACAAUAAGAACGAAUUCGAAUAAUGAUAAUGAUGAUACCAUUUUCUUUUGUUCUUCGAGCUGCAAAAACACCAGAAAAGUUUUGACCAAAUCUAGGUUAAGGUAUUUAUAUAGAGAUGAAAUAAAUUAGGGUUUUGCUCAUUUUCGACAACCAAGACGCCAGCGAGAGAGUCCAAGACAAUUCUAACGGCGUUCUUUUCUGAGCCCAUUUACCAAUAACGUCCACUAAUAAAGGUAAAGGCCUUCGGUUCGGCUUCAAUGGGCUUUUGUUACAUUUCUUUUAUUUUUUCUGUUCGGAGGCUUAUGUUCAAUUUAUUCAUAUUUUCUCGAGCAUGUGAAUUCUUUUAGGCAAAAAAAACCUGGAAGAGGAAAAUAAAAUUUAUUCAAAUCAUGACUAAAACCAAUGAAAGUUUGGGUUUUGAGUAAUUAGGUUUGAGUUUUGUUAUGUGUAGUUGGUGUGAACGGGUCUUCAAUUUUAUCAUGUGCAAUAAUACAUGUUCGGGUUUUAGUUUAAAUCAUUUUUUAUUAUUCAUCUAUUUGUGUAUUGUAAUGAUUUAAUUAUACUUUUCAGUUAUGCAUAUUAAAAUUUUAUUUAUGUAUUAAACUAUUUUUUUCAAAAUUUUCUCUAUCACUUAUAUCAUACAGUGGAUUAUUUGAAUACUCGUACGUUCCUUAAGAUUUUGUCGCUCUCAAGUGGGCCGGCUUUCAUAUAUUUGAACUUGGAACAUAACACAUAUUUAAGUACUCUAUAGAAUAGAUACAUAAGAGUGUACAAAAAAAACAAUUCCAAAUUAUACUAUCAAAAUAUGACCAAGUGACUGGAUGAGCCAUAAGAUAUAUUAUAAGUAUGUAUUUUUUCAAUAAUUUUACUUGGAGAAGUCUAAAACUUAUGCUAACAGUCUUCUUCACGAUAUUAAGCAAAAUACAAAUAUAACACAGGAAAUAAUUUAAAUAUAAUACAAAACGUGAUACAAAUAUACAAACCUUCAAAUAUAUAAAUAUAUAUAUGAGAUAUCAUUGAGAUUUGGUCUUCUGAAAUAUUGUACAUAUUUGGUGCUACAAAUCCUUGCUGGGCUGCUACGUCAUAAAAAGAAAGUUGAAAGCUCCCUCGCUUUGGGGGUUAUAUAUUAACUACCAAGUGUGUGUUUUGAAUAUCCAUGUUCAUAUCCUUCUGCAUUAUUACUAUUUAUCAUUAUUAUUUUUUGGAAAAGUUAAUGCUUUUCAAAGUUGGAUUUAAAGAAUGCAUUGCAUCAACUUUUUAGUAAUCUUCACAAGAAAACAAAAGGGUUAGUCCUUGUCCAGAAUAGAAAUGCAAAUGGACUAGCCUUGGUGUUCCCAUGAUUACUUUGAAUUUGACAACCCUAUCACAAUGGAAGUCAGAGAUGAAGCAAUAAUAUGUACUGGUCCAUGUUUAUUUUUAAUGGAAAGUCCAAUUUAAUAAAGCUUAAAAAGGAUUCAUGUACUCAAUUUAUCCGUUGAUACAAAUUUCAGCAUAUACAAAAGUGUAAUUUGGAAAUUCCCACUCGAUCCUGCAAGGUACAAAGAACCGUGCAAAAGGCCUAAUGUUAUAUAUGAAUUCGUGAGCAUGCUUGAAUAAUGAGAAAGUAAUAUGCAAAAAGGGCAAAGUUAAAGAAGAUAAUAGAGCAACCUAAGCUGGGGAAGAAUCAUAGCUAGCAAUAUCCAAGACAAGAGCAAAGUGGAGAGGGGGAGAAAGUGGACAAGUGGGUUUUGAAGCUUAGCUUUCACCAAGCACAUAGAAAUAUAAAAACAAUACGCCUCUCGUAAUUUCUCCCAAUAAUUACUUGUCACUUACAUGGAGAAAGAAACUCCUUGGAGACUGACAUAAAGCUACCUAUACAUUAACAACACAUCACCCCUCCAUCUGUAUAUGUGAACGACAGAUGGAGGGUGUGUUGGAAAAAGCUAGCUUAAGGGUUGAGAUUCAGCAAAGGAAGCUUUUUCUUUUCCCCUGCUGGCUGAGUUUUGAAUUUUGAAUGUUGAUGAUGAAAGGGGAAAAGAAAAAGUACAUGAAGAUGGACCCUGUGAGUAAAUUAACACCUUCACGGAGCAUGUGAGGAUUAGAAAGGUGGUGGUGGUAUGUAUGGUGUAAAGCUUGAGAGAGUGGCGGUCCCUCCCAAUAUGGAGAAAAAGAGUGGAACAAUUCUCUGCAUGAACUGGAUAUCUCUCCACUCCACUCUCUCCCUUAGUGCAACAUUUCUUCUUCUUCCUAUUAUUGUUAUGAUGAUAUUCAAAGUCUGUCAAUUUCAUCUCUAUGCAUGCGCUUGCUUGCUCGUCUUGCCCUUUUCUUCCAUCCAAUUUCCCUCAUGCAUAUCCAUCUUUCCUUGUUUUUUUCUUUCAAUAUUUCUUUUAGUAACAUUUAAUUUAUUCCUAAUGGAGUUGAAUUUAAGGCGGUGAAUAUUUCAUAUUUUUAAACAUUAUAUAUAUACAUGACAAGUAUACUUAAAUUUAUACUAUAACCAAUGGAGGAGACUGUUAAUGAAGAAUUUGGAGGUCCGUCAAAAGUUAAAAUCAAUUAAAUCUGAUUCAGUAGGCAAAUCUAAUGGAGACAAUGAAUAAGUUGGCGGCAUAUGCAGCUAAAAUAGCAUUCAAUUCCCCUUUAUUUUUUAAUAAAGAAUAAUUAAAUUGGAGCCAUCAGCAAGCCAGCACUAUCAACAUUUCUUAUAUAGUUGAUAAUCCCGAUUUUAUAUCACCAUCAUUCUAAAAAUAAAUCAAUAAAAUAUUACUUAUUUAUAUUUAGUAUAUUCUCUAACUUAAUUUAAUUUCAAUUAAACUACCUAAAAUAAUUAUUUUUUUAAAUUACAAGCAAACAUCUUUUCUUUUUUUACAAAUUUUAAUCAUUUUAUUUUUUUUCCAUAAGUUUAUAUUUUUUAUUUUUGUGCAAUUUUUUCCAUGUCAUUGAUACAUAAUUUCGGUAACUUUUUACCCGAACCUCAAAUUUUGAACUCAAACCCCUGAAGCUUAAAUCUUGAACUCCAAAAAUUGAGGUUCAAGUUUGAAUUUGGGGUUCAAGGGUUUGGAGUUCGGGAUUCAAAGUUUGGGUUCGAGGUUAUGAGUUUGGGGUUCUAGGUUUUGGGUCCAAAGUUCGGGAUUCUAGAUUCAGGAUUCAAGGUUUUGGGUUUGGAGUUGAAGAAAAAAAUAAUUACCAAAAUUAUGUGUCAAUGAGAUAAAAAAAUUGUUGAAAUGACAUUAAAUAAUUGGAAAUGAACCAUGAAUAAUAUGGUGGGAAUGUUCCAUAAAAUAAUUCUUCUAUGUCUUUAAAAUUUGAAGAUGUGCCAAAAUUUUAUUGGUACCUACAAACCUUAGUUUUUAGGGUUAUUCAUUUAAUUUUUGUAUGUAAUUGUAAAUUAUAUAUAUAUGUUGCAAUAAGUGGAAGAAAAUAAAAAGAAUAAAGUUUAAAUCCUGAUUUUUGUUUUAUAAAAUGUCUAAAGAAGCCUUCUUAAGCUGUUGGCUAUAGUUAUAAUCUUAAAAUUAUAUAUUUGUCUGUUUGUUGGAAAAGAAAACAUAUAUUAUUGGUAGAUGAUUAAUGGUUUUGGCAGUUUCCUUUUUUCUUUUUUUGGUUUAGAAGUGUAUCCAGUUUCGUGACAGUGGAUAACAUUCAAAGGAAAUAUUAAUGAUGAAAUUCAUGGAUUCCAAUCACGAGUUGUAUUGUUGUUAGAUGAAUAAGCAUUUCGUUGACUGAUUACUUCCCAGCUGGCUUCAUGUUGCUAGCAGUCAAUUUUUAGGUCUUUGGAAAUUAACUAUCCAUCAUAAUAAACCUCUUAAAAGAAAUAAAGGAAAAUUUGCAUUCAUCAAUUUUAAUGGACCAUGCGAAACUCAGACUAUGAAUGAAAGAAAACAGUCAUUCAAUUAUUUUGAGAUUUUCUUUUAUCUAUUUUUUAGUUCUAUUUUUUAGUUUUACUUUUGCGGGUGAUUUUAGGGUUAAUUUUGUCGUCGUCCUUUCUAGUUUGGUGGAUAUACGCGGUUCUUUUUCUGAUUUAUGCCCGCCGCUUUGGAUCACAAGGCUGAUUUUCUCAUUGUAUUAAGUGCUUGCAAUUACUCCGAAUAUGUUGUGCUUGAGUUGUGACCAACAUGUCAUUAUGUUCUGUUGAUGCCGAGACUGAAGCCUUUGUUGUGUUAAUGGAGCUUAUCCUUCAUCGCCUACAACGGGUGUCUGUUAUUCUUCCCCCAAUUGUAUGGUCUCAUUCGUUGAAUGAAUUAAUGGAUCUCCCUUUAAAAAAAAUAUUUUGAGAUUUUCUUUAAGUUGUACUCUACCCUAUUUAAUUUAAAAUCAAAUUAUGAAAUUAUUUAAAGAUAAUAAAUUUUAUUAAAUUUGAAAGUAUGAUUUUUUUUUUAAGUCUCGUUAAUUCAUGACGCAAUUUCAAUUAAGCCAAUUGAGUUUUUUUUAUUUUGGAUUAUUAAUUGAUAUUUAAGAAAUAUAUAUAUAUAUAUAUCUAAAUUUAAAGAAUUAGUCAACAUAUUCAGGAUUCCAAUCUAACUUUUUUUUAUUUUUAUUUUUUUUAAAUAUUGUAUUUAAAAGUCGAAUGAUUUAAAAUUUAAUAAUCUAUCUUAAAAGUUGGUAUAAAUUAAAUUAAAAAUAAAUAUCAAUAUUAUCAAAAUUUAAAAACGAAUAAUUAUUGAAAUUAACUUUUUUGGAAAAGAAAGGGAAACAUUUUUAAUUAGUUUGGUGGGAUUGUGAUUGAUAUAAUAUACACUUGACCAUUAUAGUGAAAACAAAAACAAAUGUAAUGAUUAAAAUGUGAUAUUCUCGAAAUUCAAGUUUUCCUUUUGUCGAAGAACAACGCCAGCUAAGAGAUGUUUAUUAGGUCAUUGUCAAGCUUCGGAAACAGCCAUUAAAUUGGAUUUAUAGUAUAGUAGUGAGAUAAUUAUUAAUGUAUUUAUUAUCAUCAUUGACGCCUACUUUGCAAGACAAGAAUCCCAAUCAAAGAAAUUGUAGAUUUGGUUACGCUUAAACAAAAUCCAUUUCAUUCAUGUAUAUUGUUGGUGCCACAGUUACUGAAGAGUGGACCAUUUUGACGUAGCGAUGUAGCAAAAUUACAAUAAUUUAUUUAUCAUUUUUAUAACCAAUCAUGCUUCACUUAUAAUAAAGCCACAAACUUUGAUUAGAAUUCGAUAAGGUAGAGUCUCAUUUCAAAUAUAUAGUUUUUCGGUUACAUAUUAUUUAAAGAUAAAUACGUAUAACAUGGCGAAUCUAGAUGAAGUAGUUUCGACUGAAUACUACUUGAAAAUUUAUUUGAUGAUUUAAAUUGGGAUAAAUUGGAGAUAAUUGAUGAUGUGAUUGAUGCUCCUGAAAGAUCAAUUUUACGCGAUAAUUUUAAGAUAAUUCAAAGAUAAUAUAUAUGAUAAUUGUGUGAAUAAUUAUUAACUAAACCUUGUAUUAUCUCGUUUUGAUCAGAUAAGAUUGUGGUGUUUUGUGAAUAGAAAGAUUUUCCUGGGAUUAAACAACGAUUUGCACAAUUUGAUUUAUUUGUGAGGAAUGCUUUUAUGCUCUUUUAUUUUACUUUUGAGAAAAUUUCUUUCAUGGGAAUGAUUGUUUUCGUUGGUGAGAGUUCAUACUAAGUGUAUUUAGGUGAGUGUAAUUAUUCGAGGGUCAGGAUAGAUUGAGCUUAAAUAAUUGCUUCUACAAUGAGAUUAAGUGGUUGGAAUUUCUUCUCUAUCAAGACGUCGCAGAUGUAGAUUAAGUUCAAACGGCAUAAAUAACUUCAUACGUGUAAUAUUUUAUUCUUUUUGUGUUUACUUAUCGGUAUAACAUUUGGUAUAUCACUCAGUGUAUCCACAUCUCUUGACACACCUUAGUAUCAAUUUCACAUUUUCAUAUAUAUGUACAUAUAUAAUGAUUUCUUAAACAUGCCUUGACCAUAAUCUUCUAAUUUGAUGGAAGGGAAGUGGGGAUGAAAUUGCAAUGAAUAGAAAUUUCUUUAGUAAAUAUGUAAAAUGAGCUUUAAUUAAGGUCAAGCACAAUAUAAGAUCGAAAAAUAUUUUAGUUAAAUGUGUUAGAUUAUGUGAUGUAAUCACAAAAUUUUGCAUUAGGUGAUGUAAAGUUAAUGAUUUACAAAUUAAAGAAAUUUAUUUAUAGUAUUAAGUAGACUUUUUGUCAAUGAUAUUACAAAUUUCACCAAGUAAUUAUCUCGUUUUUUUUUUUAAAUUUGGUUGAAGAUUAUAUAUACAAUAAGCAAGAGUAAGCAUUUUUUUUUGUUUUGUUUUAUAUACUGACGACAUAAUCCUUGUCAAUAAUAUUAUAAGCUUGUUCCAUGAAACCAAGAACCUUCAAGUAAGAAAUUUUGAAAUGUUAUACAACUUUUUUAUUAGGGUUAGAUAUAUUACUGUCGCUCUCCAGGAACCCUUAAAUUAUUGUAAAGGGAUUAUAUAAAAAAAUGUAUGUAAGAAAUUUGACACGUAGGAUUGUUAACCAUGUGACACCCAUGUUUUUAGUAAUUAAUUUUAGUGACUAUGUGACAUAUAUUUUUUAUUUGUAUAUAUUAUUUCUAGAAAAGAGAAAUUUUCGUUCUUUUAAUUAUGUAUAUUGUAAUCUGAAAGAUCAAAACUAAUAUCAAAAUCAAAAGGAGUUGAAGUCGAGGAUUGAUAUGUGUGAUGCAUGAUUUGCUUACUGUUUGUGUAGUGGGAAGAGAAGUAGCAACAAAGGCCCAAACGGGCCGGCCAUAUGGGAUCCAUCGUAUGAGCCGUACACACCUCCCAUCAUCCCAUCUCCAUUCAUUGCUUUAAAUAAAGCUUGCACCAAAGGAGAGGAAUGAAAUAAAAUAAAAUGAGAUUGAGAUUUUUAUUAAGGAAUUUAGAAUUUGAGAAUUGGAUAAAAUUGAACUUUUUAUUAUUAUUAUAAGUUUAUUGUAUGAAUCCAUUAAGUUAGAUGAUAAUGGGAAGCAUGCGGUGAAUGUUGCGGGCUUAUAUGAAUCAUAUAUUAUUUACUAGAUGCAUGCAUGCAUGUAUGCAUAACAAGAAGACAUUUCUACAUUCCGACGUAGGAGAAAAGUGGCCCACAUCUGAUUCGAUGGCGAGAUGAAAACCAUGUGCAAAAGUGUUUGAUGCUAGCUUCUAAAUAUACAUCUAUUUAUUACUAAGAUUCUGGUUCAUCAGUACACAAAUAAUGCCCCUUAAUUAAAGUGUUUUCUGAAUAAAAAUAAUAAUUUUCAAAAUAUUUAUCUUCGGCUUAAGGAUCUGGUUUGACUUGACAUUAUAUUUGUAAGUAGACAUGCUUUAAUUUUCGAAUUUAUUAAAUUACAUAAUAAUAAACUCUCUCGUAUUAAAAAAUUACAUAAUAAUAAUUUUUUGGUUGCAUCUAUUUGUAAUGUUUUAUAAAUAAAUAAAAAUAAUCAGGUUGUCUUAUCGAUAAGAAUAAAAGACAAACAUAAUUUAAAAAAAAUCUGAUUGAUCCUUUGAUCAUGGUUUCUGCUUUUUGGCACAAUUAAAAUAGAGGAAGAGAUGCAUAUAGCAAGAAAUUGUAUAAUUUUUUGAAGGAAAAUGUUUUUUUUUUUUAUUGUUGAGUGGUGAAGAAAAAUGGAAAUUAAGAUGGCGAAGGCAAGUGAAAGUAGUUGGAAAUUGGAAAUAUAGGAUAAAUGGUCCAUGCAAUGCAAAGCAAUAUGUUACCAACAAAUAUAUGUAACACAUGUUAAUUAGGCUCCCAGCCUUGAAUAGAAAUUGAAAACGACCAAUUAUUCCGCGGUCCCUUCUCUUUUUAUCUCCUGCAAAAGCUGCUUUUCUUUCACCUAAUCUUUUUGUCCGUUUAUAAUUUUUUAAGCUAUAAUUGGGGGAAGGAUCCGUUUAAUUGUUCUUUUAUAUAUAUAUAGUUGAAUUUCUUUUCUUUAUGACAGGCUAUCUAUCAAAUCCAACUGAAUUGUCAAACCAGCUCAACUUUUGCAGAUGACACACAAUGGGUUACAUACAGUUAUAGCCAGGUCGACCCUUUUUCCUUUGUUUAAAAAUGAAUUGAUUGGUCCCUUCAUUUUCCUAAAGUGACACGUAAGUUCCCUUCAUUUUUGUUGAAGCAUGUUUGCUCUACUUGCAGCAAAAAUGGGACUUUCUUUUAAUAAAUGUAAUCUCCAUGUACAUGUAAUUUAUUGCUCAUUUUUAAAUGCACAUGAUGAGGUGGUCGAAAACAUUCUAUUUGGAAGGAAAUCAUUUUGACAGCGAUAUUGCCGGUGUUUGAUAUGAAGCCAAGCACAACAACAGCAAAAAGCCAAACAAAUAAUAAAUGCUUUAAAGGAAGCUGCAUCUGAUUGUUACUAUCGAUUAUGGUAAUAAAUCACAAUCUCCAAAGCCUUAUGGAAAGUACAGGUCAAAAAACAAAUCAUAUGCUAUGCAAAACACUUACCAGAUAGAAUCCAUAGCUCCAGUUUUUUCCUUUUUAUCUCUUUAUAAAUAUAUAUAUUCAAUCAAAUACUCAAAUUUCAGCUUCAUCUGAAUCUCUUUGUGUCUCACCCUAAAAACGAAAAAGUAUGAUGCCUAAUUAGGGAAAAAUGGUAAUGUACAAGAUGUACAAAUAUAAUCUCAGGUCCCUCACACAAUCCAAUUACAAAAAACCGACCCGUGUUCUUAAACACUUUGAAAUUCAACUUUCCUUCAUAUACGUCCCCAAGGCUUGCAAUGGCAGCUGGCUUUGGUGUCAUCUAGAAAAAGGAGACAAGGGUUCACUGAGACAACUCUCUUCCUUAAUUUUGCUCAUGUGCCUUUGGCUUUGGCUAUGAAUCAAUCAAUAUCCACUGCUGCAUGUUCACGUGCAGACGCAGUAUAUUAUGUAGUAUAUCUUCCAUCUUCAACCAAAAAAACUCUCGCUCUCUGACGAUUUUAAUUCAAAAAACCCAAGAAAAAUAAAGCUAAGGGAAAAAUGAAUCAACCACGGAGAUUAUGAUGAUGAAUCUGAGGAAGGUUGCUGCAAAAGUGAACGAGUGAAGGCCAUACGGUGUUUUGCUUCAUGUUUCCAACACCGUUCAAUGUCUUCUGCAAUCCUCCUAGCAUCCAUUGAUGUACCAAGUAACCCACGUUUUGUGAACCCCACGGCGUAUAGCCCACUUUCACCUUUCCACCCAUUAGGGAAUGGCCUUCGAGGGUACCCAUCUUUCUCUGAGAACAUCUCUCUUUCCUGUCAAUAUUUUCAAUUUCCUCUUUUCUUUUAGCCUUUUUUUUGUUGGUAAAGGAAAUAAAGAUAAAAGGGCAAGUAUAUAUAUAUAAUAUACCUUUAGCCAAGAGGGUACAUUGCUUUUAUAACCAGUUGCUAAGAUGAUUGCAUCAAAGUUCUCAGUUUUGCCAUUAACAAACUCCACGGCAUGUCGUUUUAGGCGCUUAAUGCUUGGACAUACCUAUAGUAUAACAACAUCUAUAAGUUAAAGAAUUUCGAAAUUUAACAAAAAAAUGGUAUGGGAAUUAUUGGGAAACUAUGUUUGUGGCAAAAAAGAAAAGCAUGUGGGUACGAUUGUGGAAACACAGUUCGUUAGUUGUCAUCAAUGAACGAAAAAAAAGGGCAGGUGUUAUGUGAUUUCAAUGAGAAAAGGCAAAGUACCUUAAUGUCUCCACUUUUGAUAUUGGCAAGCGUGCCAACAUCUAAGACGGGGGUCUUUCCAGACAGAUUCUUGAGUUCCAAGGGACCCAAUCGUGGCCGGUCCAAUCCGAUGCGAGCGGUGUCACCCAACAUCAACCACGUUACAAUCAGCAAUAAGCGAUCGACGAACCGAAUGGGUAGCCAGUUGAGCAACCACAUGGACAACCCGAAAGUUGAUCGCCCCAGCAUCUCUCGUGGAAGGACGUGCACCUUCAGUUCCAUAAAACAAAAAAGCCAGGUUUUUGAGUGGACUCGAAACUAAAAAAGCAAAAACAUGAGUUGAUAUAGAAUGGGUUAGUUGCCUCCAGGCCAUUCCUCCAUAACUUUGGAGUUAGUUUUCUUUAGUCUUUUCCAGGGGGAAAAAAACUUAAUCAUAGGGACAAAAAAGAAAAAAAGGUGUAGAUUCAUUAUGAUUACGACAACACAAGAUCUUAACGAUGAUGAGCAUGCUUGAGAAUCCCAAGAAAGUGAGAGAUCAAAGAUUUUAUCUUCUCUUUAAAUUUUGAUUUAUAUAAUUAUGUUCAAUAUUUUUUUCCCUAUCUAUCCCAAUUAAGAUCUCUUUUUUGGACCCAAAAGAGAUCUCUUUGUUCACCUGAAAUUAUUACUUAGUAACAGAUUGGUUUGAAGCGACACAAAUUAUGGCAGUUGUGCCAUUUGUGGUGAAACAUAAGCAAAAAGAUUGAAAAAACUUGUUCAAUUAAAAACCAUCUUUUAUUCCUCACAAAACAAAGAGGGGGGUUCAGAAACCCUUUUUUUUUUUUUGGUAGUGAACUUUACCAUUAAAACAAUGAAAAAGAUAAAAGAAAAACCCUUUAGUGGAUGUGAUUUUGGGUUAAAUAUGUUUAGUGGGAAACAGAAGAAAUUUUAUAUCGAAGAAAGAGAGAGAGAGAGAGAGAGAUAGUGAAGAAGUACUUACUGUAUCUCUGACCACAAGUGAAGGCUUAGCAUUAUGAUUGCAAAGAUCCAAACACACCUCCAUUCCUGAAUUCCCACACCCCACCACUAAAACCCUUUUUCCUCUGAACUCUUCUCCUCUUUUAUACAAACUUGUAUGCCUUAUGUCCCCACCAAACUCUCCCAUUCCUUCCAUCUCCGGCAUCACAGCCUCCGCAUUCUCUCCCGUCGCCACCACCAACCACCGGCACACGUAUUCCGUCCCUUUCCCAUUUACUCCAACGCUUUUCACCCGCCAAAACCCCAGCGUCGCGUCGUACUCGGCUUGGGAAACCGUCUCAUUGAACCGUGGUUUAAUGCCGAACUCCCUUGCGUAUGCUUCCAAGUAGUCCACGAAUUGUUGCUUAAUAGGGUAAGUAGGGAAAUCAGUAGGGAACCCCAUCAGAGGAAGUUCGCAGAACUGUUUAGGCAAGUGAAGGCGUAGACGAUCGUAGGUCUUGAGUUGCCACAAAGAUGCUAUGCAGUUGGAUCUCUCUAGGACUACACUUGGCACCCCUUUCUCUUUUAAGCAAGCUGCUGUGGCUAGACCCGAAGGCCCUGCACCAACGAUAAGUGGCCCUGGAACACAUAUGCAACGCCACGACGCCGACGUAUUCAUCUUCUCUAUGAAUAUGGGAUCGUGAGCUUGUUUUCCUUGUAUUUCUCUCAAGCAAUCCAUGAACAGACCGCAAUUUGAGACUAAUUUUUUUUAUACCACCACUAUAUAUAUCCUUUUUGUUAGCUAUACGAAGCUAGCUACUACGCAACUAAAUAGCUACCGCUAGCUAAAGUACGUUCAGGUUGAGGUUUUGAUGAGUUUCCAAAGGGAAGGAAAAGGAAAAUGAAACUAAAAAGGGCAAGAAAUUGCUGUACUUCGAGGCUUAAGAUGGAGGGAGAGACAGAUGGUGAUGUACUGAUAUAAUAUAUAUAUAACUCUCUUCUAUGUAUAUAUUUCUUUGGAGAAUGUUCUGUAAAGGAUUCAACUCAUAUUCAUAUAUGAGGUAAAUUAAGUUUAAGAAGCAACUAAAAAAAAAGAGGAAAAUUUAAAGUGGGGACAGUGUUUUUUUUUUUUUCCACAAAAUAGACAGACAGACAGUAUUGAAGUUUAGAGAUGCUGGUAGGAUAGAGUGUGUUCCGUGUAUAUAAAUGGUAAAAAAAAUGGAAUUAACUUCUUUUUUUUUACAAAAAAACCCCUAAACUAAUAAUCCCAAAAAUAGGAUUAUAUGUUAAAAUUAUGAUUAAUGUAGAAAAGAUGCUGGUAGGAUUCUCACAGGAUAUUGAGUUUUGAUUAUGGUUGGCAAUCAUAGGACCAAGUUGGGGCGUGGUGGGUUGUGAAUAAUAGCCAAGAUGCCUCCACAUCCAAUGGUGUUGAAAUUGGAGUAUUACUAUUGGGAUAUUUUUUGGAUUCUAGGGGCCGAUUCUGUAAUCAUGGGAUUUUAGAUUCAAGUGUUUUAGAACAACAAAAAAGCAGGAUGGCAUGUGCAUUUGGUUCAGUUUUAUGCAUAUGAGUUGCCUCCCAUCAAUGUUUGCAGCUUCAGUUUGACACAGACUAGUUUAUGUUUCAAUGUUGCGAACUUGAUUUGGAAUUUGAAUUCAAUACAGCAAAAAUAUAUAUAAUGUGAAGUGGGAUUCGGCUUGUCAUACGGCAAUGGUGGUGAUGAUUAGAGUGAGAAUGGCAUGGCGGUUAGGGUGGGGAUGGAUCAGUGGCCAUUGUCACAUUGGUGCAUGGCGGUCCCAACAUUUAAUAUUUGAAGUAAUUUCGUGUUUGCAGGGAAGGCCCUACCAAUGCCAUUGCCAUUGCCCAUGGCUUCCUGCUUAUCUUAUGAUUUUUCUUUUGCCCACAGCAACUUCAACAAACUGGAUACUUAAAAUAUCAUCACAUCCCAAUAAGGGAUUGUUGCCUUUCAUUUAAUUCCAUAUCAUAUAUAUUUGAUCAAGCUGAAAGUUAGUCCUUGAUAUUUUAUAUUUUUAUUCGAAGUAACCGGUUUGAUUUUACAGUUUUCGGUUUGAUGGAACUAAUUGCGUAAUAAAAAGUUGUGGUCUAGUCCAUAGCUGGUUGAGGUCGUGCCAUUGUUUGGUUUAAAUCAUGUUCAGACCCAAGUUACACUCAGUUUGACCACCAAGUUUCAUUUGGUUUUAGGCAACAGGAGUUGUUUUUAUUUUAGUUUUUGAAAAUGAUAAAGCAGUUAUUCUAUUGUUUUACCUAAAAAUGAUUCAACACUUUUUAAAUAUCAAAUUUAUUAAUUACUGAUUACAUUUCAAUUUAGAAUUUCUUAUUCUUUUAUUUACUAUGUUUCUAUUAUAAGAAAAUAUGAACCUAUUUACAAAAUAUAUUUUUGAAUAUCCGAAAAUAAAAAAUAUUUUUAAAAGUCAAACAGAGCCCGAGUAUUCUUUUUUUUUUUUAAUGCGAGGCAGCAUCAAUAAGUAAUUUUAUUAUUUAAAUAUUAUAAAAUAUUCUUUAAAAUGAAUUUACAAAUAUAUAUAAUUACUCAUAAGAAAAGCCUAAUUUAUUAAAAAUUAGAAUAAACCUACACACGAUUUGUACAUAUUGAAAUUUGAACUCGUGACAUUUAUGUGUACUUAAUAUCUUAAUGACUCAUUUGUUAUUAUAAAAUAUUUUUAAAUAUUAUAAUUACAAUAACAUGGCAAAGUUCAAACAACAAGCGUGAUUAGCAUAACUCGAACGAGAGGAUCGAACCAUCUUCAAAAACUAAAAUUUAAUUAUCUUGUUGAAUUCCGACCGGAGACUAUACUAGUCUUGAACUUUGUUGCGUGAUGAAAUUCUAAUCCAACUUACAAACCAUAAUUUAUUGGUAUUUAAUUACAAUAAAAUAAAUUGAUUUUUGUAUAAAUUUUACCAUUAAGUGAUAGUGCGUCAGCCCGAAGAAGUCUCUAGCACAUGCACAUGAAUGAUAUUUUUCAACAUCUUUCAGAUAUUUUCAAAAUUGUAAGUUUAUUUUUGGAUUUUUUUAGAAUUGUAUACUUGAUUUGGAAUGAUUUUCAAUUUUUCACUAACAUUAAAUUAAAUUUUAUUUCAAUUAGUCCUAUUGUGCAUCGAUGCAUUUCUUUAAACCAUUAUAAUUGCAAUAAAAAACUAAUUUAGGUGAAAAACUAUUAAUCAAAUUAUCAAUUAAUAAAACAAUACCAAAUUAAAUAAACUCAGUAUAAUAUUAGUUAUAGGCUUAGUAUAUUUUGGUAUCCAUAGGUAUCGGCAGUAAUUUUUUGGUACUUAAUUCGAGUUUUAAUGUUGAUUUGAUGAAAAUUAAUUGCUAAUAUAAUUUUAUUUGAAAUUUCAUGAUUUUGCUAAUAGAAUAAAUUUAGUUUUAUUGGAUAAGAAAUGUAUAGCUUUUGCUAAAUAGAAUUGCCACAUCGGACCAAAAAGACUAGUUUUAUUGGAACCGCACUAGAUUGACCGAACGAAAACUGACUAUUAAACCAGUAUGGACAUAGAAGUUUUGAACUAGUCUUUGAGCGAACUGCUCAAAAUCGGUAAAAAACUAGAAAUCAAGACAAAAACCUAUAGUUGAACUACUUUUUAUAAUUAUUCUAAUAUUUUAUUAAUUUUUAUGAUUUUUAGUUAUUUUAGAUCGAUGGUUGAACCAAUUGUAUCGCUAACUAAUGGUCUGAUCGAUUCAAUUGUCAAGUUUGGUUAUUAAAACUUUGAAGAAAACAUAAAUACCACAUUAGAGAAAAGUGUCAAACUUAAGUACCAAAUAUAUAUUAAGCAUUAGUUAUGAACUCACGCACAAUAAAUCAUAUAUUGUCAACCCUCUUUAUAAUAGAGACACCUAUAUGUAAUGCCAACAUUUGACGCACCUAUAAAAUUAUCUAAGAUUUAGAUUUUUUUUUUAAAUUCAAAUUAAAAACUAUAAUAUAUUAAUAACAAUAUUAAUUAGUGAAAUUUAGAUUCUGCUUUUAAUAAAAUUUAGAAAUGUAAUUUUAUUUAUUAAAAUUUAUUUUUAAUGGUUAUUAUAUUUUUGUAUACAAAAUUUAAAUAUUUUAUUUAAAUAAUACAUUAAUUAAAAUCUAGAUUUUUUUUAUUUUACUUAGGAAAAUAACUAGUUUUACAAAAAAAAUUAUGAAAAAAUAUUGUUAUAAAGAAUUAUUUUAAUAAAAAUUUUAUGUAUUCUUAUUUUCUUUUCUUAUUAUUCUUCUAUUAUUUUACUACUAUUUUUAUAACAUAAUAAAAUAUAAAUAAUCGGCUCAACAACAGAUUUGAACUUUAGAAGUCCAAAAUCGCGUAUUGGCAUCAAAUCCUAAAUGCCAAAGGUAAAUCAUUCAACAUAAAUAAUUUUUAGACAAAGAAAAUUAUUAGAAUAAUUCCUUACAAGGUUUAUAUAAUGAAAUGCGAAAAGUACAUAGUCCUUACCACAUGAUUAUAUUUUACAUUUUAAUCAUGUUGUCUCAUCUAGUCAAAUUCAUCAUUUGACUUCCGAUGUAUCAUUUUUUCUUUAAACUAUCUGAUAAACCAUUAUCCUUUAGCUGUCACAUUUUGCUAAGACUAAAAAACAUUGUAUUUUUCGUUCAACCAUAAAAAAUAUACAAAAAUUUUAAAAAAUAAAACAAAAUCACAUCGUGCAUUUAGAAUUUAGUCUUAUAUUUUUAUUUUUAAUUUGUUUUUUGAAUUUAAAAAUUCAAUUGUAAUUGUUAAUAUCAUUAAAGAUUUUUAUUUAAUUCGUUAGAGUGAUAUUUUAAUUUUUUUUAAAUGCCGACAAGGUAAUCAUAUAAAAAAAAAACCAUUACAAUACACGUGACUUUAAAUUAAAAACUACAUCACCAUUUUAAUAAAAAUAAGGCAUUUAGGCUAAUCAAUGACCUUAUAAAAGUUGAGGUAGCAAUUCAUGUCAAGAAGUUGAAGUAUAGGAAUUAAAUCUUAAAUUAUAACUUGAUCAUUGUCAUAUCAUCUAUAGAAAAAAUUACAGUGUCAUGCCACUUUGCCAUGUUCACAGUCUUUGUUUUUUUUGUCAAGACGUUUAUGAAUGUAUAGUCGAUAGCCUUUCAACCACAAAUAACUUCUUUUUAUUUAUUCUUAGACACUAGUUAGCAUACAAAUGAUAUGAUACUAAAAUAAUAAGAUAAUUAUCACAUAUAAGUAUGUAAAUCAUUUGGACUAAUUAAUGCUAUUGUAAAAGUAAAGGCCCAAAUUAUGUAAAUUUAAAAAUAUAAAUAUUAAAUAUCAUAUGUGAGCAUAGUAGAGAAAUCGAAACUACAAUUUUUCCAUUAUCUUAUAAUGACUAAAAAUAGAGGGAAAAUUCAUGUCAUUAGUUAGUCCAAAUAAUUAACACUGUUAACAAUUUUAGUAGCUAACUUAUUCCAACUUAACAUAUGGAAAUACUUUUUUUGUUAAAUUAAUAUUUUGUUCAAAAAAACACUCCAAAAAUUUUAUCAGAAUAAUUAACAAUAUUAAUUAUUUAGAAAAAUAUUAUAAAAAAAUAGGACCAAAUAUUAUUGUUGAAUUAUUGUAGAAAUUCAAGUAUAAACAUUAAUUUUUAAUUUUAGCCCUAGUAGAGGGGCCAAAAGUGAUAUUAGACCAAUUUUCUGUAAAAUGCAAAAGACUGAACAUGUGUCAAGUAGAGGAAGUCAAAGUGAUAGUUGACCAAUAUUGUAUAUAAAAAAAAGGGAUAGAGACUGAACGCGUGUGAAGUAGGAAGGAUAUGUUUAGCCACUAAACAGUAAUUACAAUAAACUAUAACUGUCAAAGUAAUAAUUAUAAAAAAAUUGUAUGUUGAUUGGGAUUUUAAAAAUAAAAAUUAUCAUACCUAAAUCCCUUUAUGUGAUUUCUUUAAAACUCAACUUUUCAUAAAAAUUAGAGUCAGAGGCGAAUUUAAAAGGUUUCUCUAAAAUAAAAAAUUAUUAUUUAAAUUUUUAAAAAAAAUUAAAUUAAUAAAAAUAAAAUUAUACAUUGAUUUUUUUAAAAUUAUAAAAAUUUAAUUUAAUUAUUUAAAAAUUAUAAAUAUAUAGACUAUUAAAAAUUAAAAUUUUAUUCAACUCUUAAAAGAACUUUCUGGUAUCAGGAGAUAAUUAAAAUAUUCACCUCAAUCAAUAAACAGAAAUAAUUAACAAGAGUUAGUGUAAGUACAAAAUUCUCAAAAAAGAAGAAGAAAUUAACCUUAUGCCAUAUCCGUCUUAUCAUGAUCUUAUCAUGGUAGUAGUAAAAAAAGCAAGAGAUCUAUAUUAUAAAUAAAUAAGUAGGGAACUGUUUUGAUAGCCAUGCAUGGAGUGGAUAUAUAGUAAACUAGGCAUUUAGGCAAAGGCUAAACAAUAAUAAAAAGUAUAGGAUGAGUCAUGAGAUGAAAUUGCAGUUGAUUUAUGAAUAAUAAUAAUAAUAAUAAUAAUCAAUCAAAAAGAUUGCAUCGAAGACCAGCAAAUUCAUCUAGCAAACUUGAGUCUUGUCACACUUCAAUUCCCCAAUCAAUCGUUGAUUCUCUGUUCUAAAAAUAAAAAAAGAACCCUCUUCUAAUACACCUAGCUAGCCUCAUACAUUGUCACCAAUAUUUUCUUUUUGUAAAAAAAAAAAAAGGUGAUAAAAGAGUCCAGUUUUGACUUCCCAUCCAAUCAAAGUGAAGCAGGUAAAUAGAUACAUGUGAAAAUGAAGCAGUUCCAGUCAAACCUAAUUACCGUUUGAUCCCUCUCCUGUCCUCACUCAUCCCUUUAUCACGGCGUAAUAAAUGUCUAAUUACAGGAAUGUGUCACUCAUUCUUACCCAUUUCAUAACAUGAGAUGACAUGCAUAUUCAGAAUUUUACUACAUUUACUCUUUUAUGUUGUAUUUUCAAUAAUAUUAUCAUCCAUGUUAAUAUAGUUGCGUUUUUUUUUGUUAAUUUGCUUGAUAUAAAAAUAACCAAAUAAAUGAAAGGUGUUAGUAGGUGAGAAACGGAUUGAGGAAGCCGUACUUAGAUUGACUUUUUGCUUUGCUUCAUUUCAAUGUUUAUCCCUAUCCCAUGCAUGCCCUGUUACAAUAAUUUCAUCGUUUCUGAUUUUUUCUUUAAGAAUAUUGUAGGUAUGUGUGUACAACGGUCCACUUAUUGUCUCCAACGAUUAAGUAUGUUGCAGUUGGUAAUUCAAUUUUAUAACUGUUUGAAGAACUUCCAAUUUCGAUACAAGAUUGAUUACUUGUUGAUCGUAAUGUGUUGUUGCUUGAUCAAUGUUAACAAGCUGAUGUGUUUCUUUAUACUGAAAACAGAAAAGAUUUAUAUCUAUACUGUGUCUGAUUAAGUUAGUGUUGUUUAUUAAUCCGGUAAUUGAAUAAUUAUUGAAAACCAUUCUUUUUAUAAAUAACAAGUAUUGUUAUGAGAAUAGUUUUGUCAUAUUAAAUUGGAAUCCUGAUUAAAAGAAUUUUAAUAUUUGUAUUUAUAUAUUUUAGGUAGUAACAUGGUUGAUGGGCCUACUUCAGAAACCCAAACUUUGCCCAAUGAUGUGUGGGUUAAGGGGAGAAUGGGGUAUUAAUUAUCAUAUCUUCAUUUUGACGAGACAGCUUUAAUGGAAAUUAAAGGGACAAAUAUUGUGAAAUAACAAAGUAAAAGUAUCGUGUACGUUCAAAUUUUAAAAAUAAUAUUAUUGAAAAAAAUCAAUCACGAAUUAUAAAUAUCAACAAUAAAACAAUAAAACGAAAAAAAAAUUAUUUAAGGUGUGCUGACCUUUUUCUUAUUUAUACUCAUUCAAAAAGUCAACUUUAGUUAAAAAAAAUAUUUAUGCUUACUUUAGCUAAUCACACUAUUUUUAUUGGAUUUUCUUUUAAGUUGGUAAGUUAUGAAUGACUACAAAUUUAUCUUCGCUUUUGAAUUUAUAUUAUUCAAAAUUUUAUAAUAAUAUAAAAUUAAGAUUCAGAUGAAUCUUUUUAAUUUCAGGCACGACUAUUACAUGUAUAAUUACUUAUUCUUAAUUUAAAAUUUUUUAAAAAUGGAUUUUUGAAAUAUUACAUUUAUAAAGUUAAAAAAAUAUGUAUUAUGACGUAAAAUUUAAAAUUUGGUAUGUGAUAACAUAUCUAUAAUAUAUAAUUAAGUGAUUUUUAACCUAAAUUACUUUUGUUAUCUAAACAAACCCUAAUUUACCACUAUCCUUGUAUGCUGAAAUGUGAAAUGACUUACUCUAAUUUGUCAACAAAGUUAAUUAUCUAACGCGAAUGUUGGUUUGUCCAUUAAUUAAAAGUGGAGGUUUCAUCAUAUUUCUGGGGCAUGAGAUAUAUUGUGAUAAUGAGAAAGGUGUUUUAACCUAAUAAAAAAUCUUCAUAAAUCAACAAAUGGGAGGAUCAUUAAUUAGCUAAGUUUACGCAAACCCCCCACAAAAAAUUCAGUCAAAAUUUCCAUCAUCUUAAUUGAUGAUCAUGAGAUUUAUAAGUUGUUAAUCCAAAUCUCAUGUUUGUUUAAAGUGAAUUUAGAGAGAUGUUAUACCUUGAAAGUGUGCGGCCUUUAAAGUUGAAUUAUGGGGCAUCCUUAAUGGUUUAAUGCUUAUUAUAGUUUGAGGAUUCAAUCUGAUAGUGUGAAGGUGAUCAAAAUUAUAUUCAGGAUUCUUCUCUGACGAGUUCCAACUCUGUCUUCAUUAGACAUAUUCAUCACCUCUUGAUAAACGCAAGAUAUUGGGACAUUUCAACAUACUCCUAGACCAAAAUGGAUUUAAAAACAAAUCAAAGAUUAAAGACGUUUGAGGAGGUUUCAAGGGAAGUACAAGCACUUUUUUUCUAUUGCCUAUCCAAGUGGCAAUCUCACACAUAAAAACAUUAUGUAAUUAGUUUUAUUUAAUUAUUUUAUCUACAAAAAAAUGUUUUGACUUUAAAAAAAAAUAAAAAAAUAAAUCCUUAAAUCAUCAUGGAUUCUUGAAUAUUAAUUUGGCUUGUUUUAGUUUUUGUCUCUUUUGCUGGGUAGCUAAAUCAAUUAAUAUGAUAAUAAAAAGGUAAUAAUGCCCAUUAUUAUAUGUAGAAAAUAGUGAUUCGCGUGCUGAUAUAUAAAAUAUAAAACUAUUAGUUAUGUACUUCAACUUGUAAAAGUAUUCACAAUGGUUAUAGUUGACAAUUUUUUUUAGUAUUAGAGAAAUAUUAAAACCGAAAGCAAAAUGUAACCAUCUUCUAAAUUUGUCAUUAGCAUCAAAUCAUGAUGAUAUUUAGUGGGGUAGGAAAGAUGUAAAAUUAAAGUAAAGUGAACUACUGUGAAAGUUAACCCACGAAAAUAAGUCAUAUAUAUAUAUCAGGGUAACUAAGAAAAUCAAUCAUUCCAAAUCAUUAAUUUAUCUCUUUUAAUUUAAUGCAAAAAAUGUGCUGUCUAGCAUUAUUAAGAACAGUAAUGGUUGAUUUAUACUCACCAAACAAAUUAAGAACUAAUCAGAUGCCUUCUUCUUGUAAUUUAUUAUUUUACCACCAUAUAUGUAGUCUCAUUGCUCAAUCAUUUUUUUAACUUACAUUUCUUAAAAAUAUAUGCUUUUUUAACUUACAUUUUAUAGCUUCAUGUGAUUUAGCUUAUAGUAAUGAAAGUCCAUGAAUUAAAGCCUAUUGUACUAUUAAUUAACAUACUUUUUCAUUAAUUCGUCCUCUAAAAAUUUCAUUAUUUUAAGGGUCAGUAUGUGAUGCACUAGUAGUAGUGUAUAAUUUUAUGCAUUAUCUAUUGAUGAAUCAAAUGAUAACACAUCAUCAAAACGGAAGUUGAGUAACUUUCGCCAGUCCCCUUAAAAUGAAAAAAAUUCUUGAACCCAUUAAAAAUUUUAAAUUAAUAAAGGUAAAAUUGCACUUUGGCCUCCAUUAAAAAUGAUAAAAUUUGAUUUAAUCAUUUAAAAAUUAUAAAAAUAUAGACUAUUAAAAUGAAGAAAUUAUAUUUUUACUAUUGUUAAAAUUAUAAUUUAAUUUCGGCUCCUUAAAAUAUCUGAGUUCACCCCUGAAUAAAUCAUAAUAAAAAAUUAUAUUGUGUAAUAAUCUACAUUAAACAUAGAUCUUAAUUUUAAUAUUAUGAGAAUAAAAGUAUUGAGAUGAUCAUAAUUAAAUUAGGUCAUAAAUUUGUCAAAGUGGACCUUUAAUUUGCCUACAUGGAAGUUGUUUAAUGGGAUUGUUCUCACUCUCUUAUGAUUGCAAAUCUCUCGUUAUAUAUAUAAUAAAAGUUCAAAUGUGAGCUUUUUAAGCCCUUUUUUAAACCAAAAACACAAAAGAAACAGUUUUGGGUUCCAUCAAAAUAUCAUUGGCUACAUUUGAUGUAUCUAUUUUGAUAAAGACGUGUUGCUGAAGAGAUUUUUUUUUAAAAAAAAGAAGCUAAGAAAAUAAAACAAUAGCAAAGCAAAAUUCCAUGGAUUUAAUUUUGGGGAGAAGAAUCUCAACUUUGUGAGAAUCAUUACUUCCGCUCCCUUGUCAGGGCAACUUAAUCAUAUAUCACAGAAUCUUUGUAGGUCAUGUCUUUAUAUAUAUACACGUAUGUAUGUCUAUGUAUUAUAUUAAACUUUCCCAGUUUUUUUUUACCCAAAGAGGCUGAGAAUAUGUUUAUGUCUUUAAAUCACUAACAAUGCUUGAUUAGACAGUCGUGGGGACUUGUCUUUUUUUCUUCCCUAAGAUUUAAAGUGCAUUUGUCCAAUAAUCAAGUUGUUGUUCCUAAAGAAUAUAUAUAAUAAAACUUUUUUUUGGGGGUAUAAUUUAACUUUUGUCAAGUGGUUAUAUCACUUCUUUUCAUUUUUUUUGAAAAAAAAAUUUAGACUUUAUUUAUUAUGUAUCAGUGUUUGAUGUUCCUUUCUGUGAAAUGAAAAUUAUGUUGAAUAUAUAUAUUAUUAUAUUAAAUGAAAAUAUAACGAUAGAAGCAAUAAUCAUAGGGAAAGUUUAGAAAUGGAGAAAAAUAGGGUAUAUAUUAUUUAUAUGAAGGGAUGAGAAAUUUGGAAAACACCAAACAUCUCAUCAUUAAUCUCAUCCACACACAGAAUUUAGAAUUAUCCUUUUAAAAAUUUCCUGUUAUCCUUUCUAAAUUUGGGAGAUUCCCUUCUCCUUUUCAAAAACCAUUUAAUAUGUAUUAUGAUUGCAAUAUGAUUAUAUAUAGUUCAUGAACCUGGUUCUUUGGGAAUUGUUUCAAUAAUUUUAUUAGGGAAAAAAACUGAAAAUAUAACUAAUAAACAACUUGGAAUAUCAUAAUUGAAAUUGCCUUCAAAGAAUAAUACAUUUUUAUGUGUUUCCGUAUCUGGUUGCCUGUAUGUCAAGAAGCUUGCCCACAGUGUCCAACUCUAAAUACUAAGAUUGUUUAAGUAUAUGAGUUUUGCGCAUAAUUUAGAAUGAAUAUCUGACUCAUAUAACUUUUAUGUGUAAAAAAAUUAUUAGGUUUUAAGUUUAAUUAGUGGGGAUUAAUUAUGAGAGCUGAGCGUGUAGAUUGGAAUUUUGGAUCAGAAUUAUGUGAAUAAGACAAAAUAAUAAUAAUAAAAAAUAGGGAAGAACUGGUUUAGGGUUCUAAGUAUUUCUAUAUAUAGAUAUAUAAAUACGAUAUAAUGGGGAACUGAGUUUCGAGGGAAGAAAGUGUGGUUGAGCAUAAAUGCCCAAGAAUGUUUUAUAAUUAGAAAUGCCAGGAGAAACAAACAAAACCUAUUGGUUACUUGUGUAUAUAUGUGUAUAUGUAUAUAUAGAAACAUGAUUCAUGAGGUUGCUUUAAUCAUUUUCUUCCCCAAUAAUCUGAGUUUUACUGCUCUCUAAUGAUUAUUACUAUCCAAUAAAGAAAAAUGACAUCUUAAACCGCCCCACCAGUGUUGGUUUGCCAAAAAAACAAUCCAACAACAAUAUUGGUUUUCUGAUCACCAAAUAGCAGUGCUGAAAUUUUUUUUUAACGAGUGGAUGACACAAAUCCCCACCAAAGCAAAUGGUUAUGAAACAAACGGGGUCUUAAUGAAGUGGGGGCAAGGGGUGUUUUCAGAUAGGCGAGAUAGAUCACAAAUAUUAUAUUGAUACAAAGAAAUAGAUAUGGUUCGUGGAAAACCAUUAGUGGAAUGAAGGAGUUAAGUUCGCAUGGUGUUCAUAGAGUGACUUUGGAGUUUUGAGAAAAUUUUAGAAAAAUAAUAAUAAGUGGAGUGUGCAUGCCUUUCUAGAUUAUUAGAAGAUAUGUACGUAAUUAUGCACAUCUUAUGGAAUAAGUGUCUUAUAUGUGUAAUAUGUUUGUUAAGUUACAAUGAAUCUUUUUAUGCGUGAUUUAUCAAGUUAUAUAAAGUUUUCUUUUUAUAAAGAGUUAAUGUGAUUGGACAAAGUCUACAUAUUGAUCAUAUGGGAGACAAAUAUCAAUAAGCAAAAUGUUUAUAAAAAGUAAAUUUUUUAAUCAAAAUAAAUUGACUUAACAAAAAUUUUCAAGGUAAAAUAGUUACGAAUAUUUAUUUAUGUUGGAAUGUACAUAAAAGUACCGUUAGCCCACCAUAAGAGAGAUGAUUGGAUGUGGGUUCAUAAAUGUUAAGAAUUACGGCAAAGUCAAUUGCCAAAACUUUCCUUCCCUAGAUGGCCAACCAAAACCAAGGUAACUAACCAUGGCCUACAAACCAGAUGUUCAUAUAGGUUUGGGGGUUGAAUUCUGGUAUGUUGUUCGCAUAAGCAUAUAGAUUAGAUGCAGGACUAGGUAUGUAUAGGAAGUAGAAGCCAUAACCUAUAAGGCUAAAACUUGCCACAUGCCCACAUGACAUCUUACUCUCAGAAAAGAAAAAACUUGACAUGUUCAACUAGUCUAUACAUAUUUGGUCAAAAAACCUACCCUAAGGAGGCUAGAACUAUCAGAUUUUGAAGUUGUUAUAAAAUUCGCCAUAAACUUUUGGACAUUCAACUCAAAUUGUAUACAAACACCUGUGUUUGUAAGAAAAAAUUAUCUCAUUUAUCGACUGUAAUUAUUAAAUUUUACAAGUAAAAUUAACAAAGUGGUACAUAGAUAUUAGUCCAAUGAUACAUCCGCUAUAUAGAUGAAAAGUAUAAAUUUUUAUAUAAAAAUUAUAUAUUUUUCUUUUAAAUGAAUGCUAAUUUUAAAAAAAAAAAAUUUAAUGGCUGAUUGAUUUUAUUUUAUUUUAAAAAAGUUAAGUGAGUAGUUUAUGGGGGAGUGAGUAGUUUUUUUUUAGAUCCGAAUUUUUUUAAAGGUUGGAAUUAAUGAAUGUAAAAGUAAAAAAAAAAAAAAGAAGGUAAAAGUUGAUUAAUUACUGUUUUGUUUUCCAUUUUCUUGAUUUAUAUUAACUUUUAAAGAGAUAUUAGUAAUGUCAGUUAAGACCAUAAAUUUAAUCAGAAUUUAAUAUUAAUAUAAAUAGUAAAAAACUUUCUGGCAGAAAAAGAAAAAAAAAUGAUAACCUCUUAAAUCUUAAUCCACUAAUGAAGUAAAAAAUUCCAGUAUUUACUAUCUACUUUCCCUUUUCUGGGCUAGUAUUUGAAACUAGAAACUAGAAACUUCUUUGGGUUAUCUUCAUAUUAGAUUGAAGCCCAAUUUUAAGUUUAUGUAGUUCAGGUUUAGACGUAGAACCCUGUCGGUCCAAAUCUAUUUUCCAAAGCCGAAACCUGAAAAUUAAAUAUGAAGUUGCUUCUAGGGACUAGAAUUAAAUAUAUUGACUAAAAAUGGCUUCUAGAUUCUAACCUCUACCUUCCAGCUCCGAUAAACAAGGGCGGUGCACGUGGUUGGGAAAGAUUUAUUAGAGCAUGUUAUAAUAAUAUUUUCGAAUUUCUAAGCAAACAAUUCUUCAAGGCAAAUCAUAACUGUGGCCUAUUAAAUUUAGCUUCCAAACUUUGAGACGAUUAUUGUUACUUGAUAAUAUUAUGUUUAAAGGCAUUUUUACCUUGCAUGAUAUAGAAAUAUAUAAUUAGUAGUAUAUAAUAAACACCACAAUGACAAAAGACGUACAAACAAGACUGAUAUAAUUAACACCAAAAGUUUAAUAUCUAGAUUUUGACCAUAUUUACGUUAACAAAGUAAAGAAAAAAAUCUGAGAUAAAACACACAUUUAACCAGAUCUAUUUUCACAUGAAAUCUUCCUUUAAAUGUACUAAAAGUCACGAAAUUCAAAUAUGGUGGUUCCUAUAUCAUCUAAUAAUAUCUCCCAACAAUUUAUCAUAAAUGGGUGGCACUGAUGGGCAGUUAAUGAGCUACCGUCCUAGUUCCAGUCUAAAAGACAAUGGCGUAUAUGUAGGCAGAGGAGAAAACGGAAAAAACUCUAAACAAUCAUUGCUCACCUCAGCGCCUCCCAACAGUCUACAUUGUAGCCAUAGUAUUGACACUACUAAUUGAAAGGCUAAAACCAAAGUUGAAUACGAAAUUAUCUGAAAGGAACGCAUACUAAACCCGCAUAAAUUGGGUAGUUGUUAGUUUAGUAAAUCUCAUAAAAAGUCCAAAAAGAAAUUAAAACAGAUUAUUGUCACAAAAAUUAAAGGCCAUAACCAAGUGACGAAGGGCCCAGUCAGUUAUGUUUGGCAAAUGAAUUUGAAUACACGCACCACCACCCUCAAAGCUCAUCCACCUAAGCCCAUGUCAUAAACUGCAUUUAAGUGAACCAGUGGCAGUUGGAGCCAUUAUGUUGGUUGAAAAAUAUUGUUGACAGUGUUAUUCAGCAGUACUUGUCCUGAGGCUCCAACUACAUUUCUCAUUAUAAAUGUGGAGAAUUCUUGCUCUACUUUCCAUUCCAUGCAACACUAGCUUUUAGAUUCCCUUUCCAUUGCACUGCUCUUUCUUUCUUUAGAAUUAGUCACUCCUGUUCUAGAUGAAGGUUCUCUCCCCAAUUCUUGCUUGCCUAGCGGUAAGUUUUUCGAUUUCAUGUGAUUAUUCGUUGUUGAAUGCAAAGAACUAUGAGGGUUUUUUUUACCUCAACUUUUCUUGUUUGCUAUUUGUUGUUGCAGCUUGCUGUGGUGGCAAGUCAUGCUGCUCUCUCACCCGAGCAAUAUUGGAGCUAUAAGCUGCCAAAUACUCCAAUGCCAAAGGCUGUCAAAGAAAUUCUACAUCCAGGUGAGUGUUUAAUAUCCCAAGAAUUCCUUUUUUUUUUAAUCGUGUUUGCUCACCGACAAAACAGGACUACUGUGAUAUAAGCUCUUAACUUGAGAUGGUCAGGAAAGUGAGGACUGUAGAAUACCGGACCCUGGUUUCCCAUAGAAUUGAAUUGAGCCUAAUACAACAAACAAUCAUGUAAUCAUGGAACCAGGGAAAUAAUCAGAUAUGAGGUGCUUAACAUAGUUCUGUUCCUGCAUUUUAUUGAAAGAGAAAGAGCAGGAUACGUUCUGUUUAGCAAGAUAUUUCAGAAAACAUAGGAAUAGGAUGUGUUCUGCACAUAUUGACUUACUAUGAAAAAAAUUGUUGGAAUCAUGCAUUCAUCAGCAUGUAUCUGAGCUCUCUAGCCCAUUUCGGUGUAUUUGCAGAACUGAUGGAGGAGAAACGUACCUCUGUAAAUGUAGGAGGUGGUGGUGUAAACGUCAAUACAGGAAAAGGGAAGCCAGGGGGUGGCACUCAUGUGAACGUUGGGCGCAAAGGAGUUGGAGUGAACACAGGAAAGCCAGGGGGUGGCACUCAUGUGAACGUUGGGCGCAAAGGAGUUGGAGUGAACACGGGAAAGCCAGGGGGUGGCACUCAUGUGAAUGUUGGAGGCAAAGGAGUUGGGGUGAACACUGGAAAGCCAGGAGGUGGCACCCAUGUGAACGUUGGAGGCAAAGGUGGAGGAGUAUCUGUACACACCGGACACAAGGGAAAGCCAGUAAAUGUUAAUGUGAGUCCGUUUGUUUACAACUAUGCAGCCAGUGAAACUCAAAUCCAUGAAGACCCGAAUGUGGCUCUUUUCUUUCUGGAAAAGGAUAUGCACCCCGGGGCAACAAUGAGCCUGCAUUUCACUGAAAAUACAGAGAAAUCAGCUUUCUUACCUUAUCAAACUGCCCAAAAAAUACCGUUUUCAUCUGACAAGUUGCCAGAAAUUUUCAACAAGUUUUCAGUGAAACCUGGAUCACUGAAGGCAGAGAUGAUGAAGAACACAAUUAAGGAGUGCGAACAGCCAGCGAUUGAAGGAGAGGAAAAAUAUUGUGCAACCUCACUGGAGUCAAUGAUUGACUAUAGCAUUUCCAAACUAGGGAAAGUUGAUCAGGCAGUCUCAACAGAAGUGGAAAAACAAACCCCAACGCAGCAGUAUACAAUAACAGCUGGAGUGCAGAAGAUGACAAAUGGCAAAGCUGUAGUGUGCCACAAGCAGAAUUAUGCAUAUGCUGUCUUCUAUUGUCAUAAAUCAGAAACAACAAGGGCUUACAUGGUUCCUUUAGAGGGUGCUGACGGAACAAAAGCCAAAGCAGUAGCAGUCUGCCACACAGAUACAUCAGCAUGGAACCCUAAGCAUUUGGCUUUUCAAGUCCUAAAAGUUGAGCCAGGAACCAUUCCUGUCUGCCAUUUCCUUCCUCGGGAUCACAUUGUUUGGGUCCCUAAGUAAAAGUCCUGAAGAGUAGAUUCAUACACUAUAGUUUCUUCACAGUGUGCAUUAAAACAGCUUAAAGCAAUAUCCAGUUUGUUCUAUAAUAAUAUACCCACAAGUUUAGUCAUGUAAAAUCUAUCCAUGAAUCAUGUUCUUAGUAAUGGAUAAAAUGAUAUUACUUUCUGUAUCACAAGGGUUUGGUGAUAAAUGUAUUAGUAUUUUAAGUAACUUUUCAGACAUCGUAUUCCAAGUAACUUUGCGGACAUUAUGUUUCUCCAUUAGAUUACUAAUUCUCUUUCAUCACAGAUUAGCCAUCUCCACAGGAAAAUUCUCUGAAGGUAAACUAUCAUGUUCAUCACUCGAUUGCAAUCCGAGAAGAAAUUGUUUUUCCUAUGUCCCAAUAGCAGAAAAAUUUUGGACCAAUUUACAUGAUACAUAUGAGAAUUUUCUAAACAGAGUGUCAUGUCAUGUAUCUCGAAGGAUGCUAACUUAAUAUAGUAAGACCAGCAUUAAAAUCUUUUCAGAUAUGAGUAGGUUCCAAAGUACUCAAAUUUGAGCACCUGUACGGAACAAACCAUUGUGUGCACUGUGCAGCUCUUCGUGUCUGAUUCCUCCACCACUGUGAUGAGCAGCUGCAGCAUCCUCAGUGGCUAACCUCAGGCCCUUGAAAGACUUAUUCAACAGAUUAUGGUGAUAAGUCAAAUAAUUAUAAAUGAUGUCGGCUCCACGGAUCCUUUUAUUCCUGCAAUGCGGAUAAAUGCCCAAGAAUGUUUUAUAAUUAGAAAUGCCUGGAGAAACAAACAAAACCUAUUGGUUAGUUGUGUAAUAUAAUUAUAUACGUGUAUAUGUAUAUAUAGAAACAUGAUUCAUGAGGUUGCUUUAAUCAUUUUCUUCCCCAAUAAUCUGAGUUUUACUGCUCUCUAAUGAUUAUUACUAUCCAAUAAAGAAAAAUGACUUCUUAAACCAAUGUUGGUUUGCCAAAAAAAUAAUCCAACAACAAUAUUUGUUUUCUGAUCACCAAAUUGCAGUGCUGAAAUUUUUUUUAAACGAGUGGAUGACACAAAUCUCCACCAAAGCAAAUGGUUAUGAAACAAAUGGGGUCUUAAUGAAGUGGGGGCAAGGGGUGUUGUUCCAAUAGGGUCGGAAGCGUGUAAAUUAUUGUACUAAAAAAUCACACAAAGUUCAAUUCUCAGGGAAGAGAGGUGGAUCACAUGGAUCUCUUAAAUACCAAGUCUUUCCUUAGACAGAAUAUCCCUUCUAUAGUAAUUUAAUAGCACAAUUAAAUACUACUAUUAUACCCUCAAAUAUUGAAAGAAAAAUAGGACAAGAAAGAACACAAGAGUUUUAACGAGGUUCGGUAAAUUAUACCUACGUCCUCGGGCACUAACACCAGAUGAUAACUUUACUAACUUCAAAGUAUUACAAACAAAUAGAAUUCCUUAAGAAUUCUCAAAUGGGAGAAAAAGAAAACUAAGAGAGAAAGAUUGGUUGGGAUGAAUUGAAAUGAGAAAUGAGAAGGCCUAUUUAUAGUUGAGGUUCAAGGACCAAACAAUAAAUAGCCCAUUAUCUCAAGGACCAAAAAAAAAUUAUCCUUGCCACUUUUCCAAAGUUGGUGGUUGUCAUUAUUGAUUGUCUCCCAUUAAUGUUAAUGGCAACCAUUAUUAAUUGUCUUCCAUUAAUGUUAACAAUCUCCACCUUGAAGAUUUGAUUAGGAUAAUCACAUCUUCACACACUUCCUUCAACUCCCCAAAUUCGAUAAAGCUAUCUUUUGUAGUGCCUACAAAUGCGCUCUCGAGCGCCAUACACCUGAAGGUGCUCAAAUUCUCAGUAUGUUAAUCAAGUUCAAACAAUGAUUAAACUUGAUUGUUGUUACCACCUUGGUCAUCAUAUCUGCGGGAUUAUCUGCUGUCGGAAUCUUCUGAAGUAGAAUUUUUCCUUUUUCAAAGACUUCCCGCACAAAGUGAUAUCUUACGUCGAUAUGCUUGGUUCUUGAAUGAUAGACUUGAUUUUUCGCUAAAUGAAUAGCGCUCUGACUGUCACAAUAUAAACUUAUGUGACUUUGAACAACUCCUAAGUCUUUCAACAAUCCAUUAAGCCAAAUAGCCUCCUUAACAGCUUCUGUAACUGCCAUAUAUUCUGCCUUUGUAGUAGACACAGCUACUGUAGACUGUAAGGUAGACUUCCAACUCACUAGGGCUUUCGCAAGAGUAAACAGAUACCCCGUAGUUGAACGACGUUUAUCUAAAUCACCAGCAAAGUCGGAAUCAACAUAUCCAACUACAAACUGACCAAGUGCUUCAUCCUGUUCAAAAAUUAAACCAACAUCUACGAUUUUUCGAAGAUACCGUAGAAUCCAUUUCACAGCUUGCCAAUGUCCUUUUUCAGGAUCAUGCAUAUACCUGCUCACAACUCCAACAGCUUGUGAAAUGUCAGGCCUCGUACACACCAUCGCAUACAUCAAACUCCCAACUGCAUUAGCAUAUGGGACUUUCGCCAUAUAUUCUCUUUCAUCUUUAGUCUUCGGAGAUAAUUGAGCACUAAGUUUCAAAUGAGAAGCAAGUGGGGUACUUACAUGUUUUGUGUUUUCAUUUACACCAAAACAUUGUAAUACCUUUUUCAGAUAUUGCUUCUGAUUUAAACAGAGCUUGCCUCUCGGUCUAUCUCUACUUAUCUCCAUGCCGAGAAUCUUCUUGGCCUCACCUAGAUCUUUCAUCUCGAACUCUUGAUUCAACUGAGCCUUCAGCUUAUCUAUCUCAUUUUGGCUCUUCGAAGCGAUUAACAUAUCAUCAACAUACAAGAGUAGAUAAAUGAAAGAUCCGUCAUGCAGCUUCUGCAAAUAUACACAAUUGUCAUAUUUGCUUCUUGUGUACUUUUGCCUUCUCAUAAAGCUAUCAAAUCGCUUGUACCACUGCCUCGGGGAUUGCUUCAAUCCAUAUAGCGAUUUGUUAAGCUUACAAACCCAAUUUCUACCACCAGCAUCUGUGUAUCCUUCUGUCUGAGUCAUAUAGAUCUCCUCUUCUAACUCACCAUGCAAGAAAGCCGUCUUAACAUUGAGCUAGCUCCAAAUUCAACUGUGCUACCAAGGCCAACAAAAUUCUAAUGGAGGAAUGCUUCACAACAGGGGAAAAUACAUCAUUGUAGUCAAUUCCCUCCUUCUGAGCGUAGCCUUUAGCUACCAAUCUUGCCUUGUAGCGAAUAUCCUUCUUGCUAGGAGAUCCAUCUUUCUUUGCGAAUACCCACUUGCAUCCGAUUGCCCUUUUACCUUUCGGUAAUUGCGCCAACUCCCAAGUAUUGUUCUUCCGGAGAGACUGCAUUUCUUCAUCCAUGGCGCUUUUCCAUUUAUCACUUUCUAAGCUUUGCAUUGCUUCUUGAUAAGUGAUAGGAAUAUCAUCAACAACGAGAAGGGCGUAGGCCACCAUAUCAGUAAAUCGAGUAGGUUUACGAAUUUCUCUCCGUGGCCUUGCAACUGCAACUGGUUCUGGUGUACUUAGUGGUUCUUGGGUCAGAACCUCUUCAACCUCUAAUUCCUCCAUUGUGGCUGGAGAAUUAGACUUAUUGACUGGGCAAAUCCCCAUCUGCUCAAACUCCACCUGUUUUGGAGUACACUCCACCUGCUGUGGAGUAUUGCUCGUCUGAAUAUCUUUAUCUGCUACCUUUUUCAAUGUGGCAGAUUCAUCAAAGGUAACAUCUCUGCUACAAAUCAUUUUCUUUGUGCUUAAGCACCAAAGACGAAAUCCCUUCACUCCAGAAGUGAUUCCUAUAAAGAGAGCUUUCUUUGCCCUCGGAUCUAAUUUUGACUCCUUUACAUGGUAAUAUGUAGUGGUUCCAAACACAUGUAAGGAAUCAUAAUCUGUAGCCGGUUUUCCAGACCAUACCUCCAUAGGAGUUUUUCUUUCUAAUGCAGAUGAUGGCAAACGAUUAACAAGAUGGCCAGCGUAUGUCACAGCCUCAGCCCAAAAUUGCUUGCCCAACCCAGCAUUGGACAACAUACAUCGAACUUUCUCCAGCAAUGUUCGAUUCAUACACUCUGCCAAUCCAUUCUACUGUGGUGUAUCCCUAACUGUGAAGUGUCGAACAAUACCAUACUCUUGGCACACAUCGAAGAACGGAUCACUUUUAUAUUCCCCUCCAUUGUCCAUCCUAAGCCGCUUGAUUUUCUUGCCAGUCUGGUUUUCGAUCAUAGUUUUCCAUUUAAGAAAAACUCUAAGCACUUCAUCCUUAGUUCUCAUGGUAUACACCCAAACUCUUCUGGAAAAGUCAUCAACAAAAGUAACAAAGUAGUGUUUUCCUCCCAAUGAACGUGUCUUGGAAGGCGCCCACACAUCUGAGUGAACAUAUUCCAAAAUACCUUUUGUAUUAUGGAUAACAGUACCGAAUUUCACUCUCUUUUGCUUUCCCAGAACACAAUGCUCGCAAAAUUUUAAUUUGCAAGCCUUUGCACCUUUCAACAAUCCUUGCUUUGCCAGAAUUUGCAAGGAUUUUUCGCUGGCAUGUCCCAACUUCAUAUGCCACAACUGUAUUGAGUCCAAUUCUUUGUUGCCGGAAGCUGCAGCGACUGCUCCAAUAACUGUACUACCUUGGUAGUAAUACAAGUUAUUUUUCCUGAUGCCCUUCAAUAUCACAAGUGCGCCAGAUGUCACUUUCAAAACCCCAUCUCUCAUAGUAACAACUGAACCAUUGGAUUCCAAGGCUCCCAAUGAGAUGAGAUUUUUCUUCAAACUGGGCACGUACCGAACAUCAGUCAGAACUCUGGUUGAUCCAUCUUUAUUCUUUAAUUGGAUUGAACCUAUCCCAACAGUUUUACAGGCAUUGUCAUUGCCCAUAUAAACAACUCCUCCAUUUAGUUCUACUAAAUCAGAGAACCACUCCCGGUUAGGGGACAUAUGAUAGGUACAACCCGAAUCCAAUAUCCACUCAUCUGAAUGGAACGACGAUGAUGAUGCAACCAGUGAUAGUUCAGAGUCACUAGUAUCAUGCUUAGCAACACAAGCAUCUAUAGCAGCUUUUCCCUUAUUCUUCAGCUUUGGACAAUUUUUAUUCCAGUGGCCUUUCUCAUGAUAAAAAGCACAUUCAUCUUUCCCAAGUCUGGACUUUGACUUUGAUCUCCCCUUUUGAGUUUUCUUCCGAGUGUAUGAACGACCUCGGACUACUAAAGCUUCUGUAUCUCUGAUUGAGUUUUUCUGUUUGUCCUUCUUUCUCUGUUCAUAACUGUAUAAGGCCGCACAGACUUCGCUCAGAGAUAUAUCACUCCUGCCAUGAAGUUGAGUAGUUUCUAGGAACUCAAACUCCUCAGGAAGUGACCCCAACAGCAUCAAAGCCAAAUCUUCAUCUUUGAAUGUCUCAUCCAUAUUCAACAAAUCAGUGACUAACUGAUUAAAUUUGGUGAUGUGAUCAUUCAUUGUGGUACUUGGGACGUAUGUGAAGCGAAAUAGUCUUUUCUUCAAGUGGAGCUUAUUUUGACUGUUUUUCUUCAAAAAAAAUUUUUCAAGUGCCACCCACAACUUAUUUGCAGAAGUCUCCUUUGAAAAAGCAUACCUCUGCUCUCGAGAAAGGCAUGAUCGAAUUGUGCCACAUGCCAACCGAUUGAUUGCCUUCCAAUCUUUCUCCUAUACAUCAUCUGGUUUCUCUUCAUCAAUGGCAAUGUCUAGACCCUGCUGAAAAAGGGCAUCUAGAACAUCACUUUGCCACAUACCAAAAUGGCCCGUACCAUCAAAGAUCUCCACGGCCAAUCUUGCAUUUGCAAUUGUCGGUCUUGUCCACAUGGACGAUGUUGAAGCUCCUACACUGACCGUUUUCUCCAUAAUCUUUCAAUAUACCUAAGGAAAUCUUUUCUGAUGUGGAAGAUCAGUUUAAACUGCAACCACAGAGCAUACUACGAUUAACCUUCGGCUCUUGAUACCACUUGUUGUUCCAAUAGGGUCGGAAGCGUGUAAAUUAUUGUACUAAAAAAUCACACAAAGUUCAAUUCCCAGGGAAGAGAGGUGGAUCACAUGGAUCUCUUAAAUACCAAGUCUUUCCUUAGACAGAAUAUCCCUUCUAUAGUAAUUUAAUAGCACAAUUAAAUACUACUAUUAUACCCUCAAAUAUUGAAAGAAAAAUAGGACAAGAAAGAACACAAGAGUUUUAACGAGGUUCGGUAAAUUAUACCUACGUCCUCGGGCACUAACACCAGAUGAUAACUUUACUAACUUCAAAGUAUUACAAACAAAUAGAAUUCCUUAAGAAUUCUCAAAUGGGAGAAAAAGAAAACUAAGAGAGAAAGAUUGGUUGGGAUGAAUUGAAAUGAGAAAUGAGAAGGCCUAUUUAUAGUUGAGGUUCAAGGACCAAACAAUAAAUAGCCCAUUAUCUCAAGGACCAAAAAAAAAUUAUCCUUGCCACUUUUCCAAAGUUGGUGGUUGUCAUUAUUGAUUGUCUCCCAUUAAUGUUAAUGGCAACCAUUAUUAAUUGUCUUCCAUUAAUGUUAACAAGGGGUGUCUUCAGAUGCAUAUGAAUUUGGUUUACAGGCGAGAUAGAUCACAAAUAUUAUAUUGAUAAAAAAAAUUGAUAUCGUUCGUGGAAAAUCAUUAGUGGAAUGAAGGAGUUAAAGUUCACAUGUUAUUCAUAGAAUGAAUUGAAAGAGUUGAGAGUUUUGAGAGAGAAUUUCAGAAAAAUAAUAAGUGGGAUGUGCAUGUUUUUCUAGAUUAUUUGAAGGCAUGUACGUAAUUAUGCACAACUUAUGGAAUAUAAGUGUUUUAUAUGUAUAAUAUAUUUAUUAAGUUACGAUGAAUCCUUUCACACGUUACUUUUAAAGUUAUGUAAAGUCUUAUUUUUAUAAGUAGUUUUAAGUUAAUAUUAAUGUGAUUGGACGAGACCCACAUAUUGAACAUAUAAAAAAAGUAUCGAUAAUCAUGUAAAAUAAAAUGUAAUCUUCAAAGUAAGUGAAUUUUUUUAAUCAAAAUGGAUUGACUUGACGAAAUUUUUUAAAACGAAAUAAAUAAAUAUCAUCUUACAUAUAUUUAUAUAUGUGUGCAAUAUACAUAAAUGUACCCUUAGCCCACCAAAACUUUCUUUCGCAAAUUUUAGACGGCGAACCAAAACCAAGGUACCUAACCACGUCCUACAAACCAGAUGUUCGUAUAGGUUAGAUGCAGGAUUAAGAAGCCACAACCUAUAAGGCUAAAACUUGCCACAUGCCCAUAUGACAUCUUACUUUCAAAAAAAAGAAAAAACAUGACAUUCAACUCAAAUCCUAUACAAAUACCUUUAUUUGUAAGAAGAAAUUUUCUCAUUUAUUGACUAUAAUUAUUAGAUUUUACAAGUAAAAUUUACAAAGUGGCACAGAUAUUUAGUCCAAUGAUAAAUCCGCUUUAUAGAUGAAAAGUAUAAAAAAUUAUAUAUUUUUCUUUUAAAUGAAAGCUAAAUUAAAAAAAAAACAAUUAUAUGGCUGAUUGUUUUUAUUGUAUUUUAAAAAAAGUUAAGUGAGUAGGUUUUUUACCCUGUGAUUCCCAAAAAAAAUGUUGUCAUCGAGGAUUGUUACCUAUACACAGAUAAAUUCAAGGAAAACUAUUUCAUGCAAGCUAAUCAUAUUUAAAAGCAAGCAAAGGGUCGUAAACAUUGUAGAUUGGAGCAUUUCAUGAAACAUAGUUACAAGCUAGAGUAUCAUCCCAUGACCCAUAGCAGUCUUCUAUAUUAUUGGGUUUUUGCAAACUUGGGCUUGAAUACACAAAUAGAAUAUAAUCACAGAAAACUUUGUUUUUUGUGUAUUGAAUUUGGGUUUAUGCUUCAUUUUAUUAUCGACAAUGAUAUCAGAACCUAUUUUAAAUCCAACAUCAUGACGAUUUGAUUUUUAUUUGUUUAAUAAUAUUUUGUCCCCUAACUAAUUGGCAAUUGAAAACUUCUACCCUUUGUAUGCAUGAUUAGUUUAGAAAUUUUGUGCAUAAUUAUCAAGCAACGUCGUGAUUACAAUUCUUGAACUCGAUUCCAUGAUAAGGAGUUCAAAUUUUAAAGUCGACCAAAGCAAGUUAGUAUCUUUCACUCUUUUAACAUAUAUUUCCAACUUCAUAUAUAAACAUUUAUUUAUACUCAUGGUUUAGAAACAGGGCUGAAAAAACUCUCUUGAAAGCAGAUACCAUUGGCGGCAGCCAUGGGUUUAUGUGAAGAAGAAAAGAUGCCUCUAUCUCUAUGAGUAGAAUUAUUGCAGUGGGUCACACCUUCGCUUUCAUUUACUUCAACUUCUCAGGUAAUAUUCCAACAUUACAGCGUUGAAUUGUUUGCAAAUUUAUUUACCUCAUAUUCCCACUUUCUUUGAUCUCUCCUUGUCCCAACCACGUUGGAUUUUGAACCAUUUGGUCUUAUAUUACAUAACAUACAAAUGAAAAGAAAAGAAAAACAUUUGCGAUUCCGACCAUAAAUAAAUAAUGUUCUGUUCUGUAACGAGAAACAGCCAAAGCUUCCAGCACUUACAAUAAUAAUAAAAGUAAUGAGGGUAAAGGCUUCAAAGUUUUUUUUUUUUUUGUUUUUUUUUAAAUAAAGGAUAAGGAGUAAGGAUUAUCUUAUGAUCCAACUUAGCAUUAGUGUUUAAUUGAAAAUUUAAAUACAAUAACUUCAAGAUAGAGUACAGUGUCCGUGUGGUGUUUGUUUUUCUACCUUCCCUGCAGGAUCCGAAACUUCCAAUUCAAGUUUCUUGCUAUAGAUAAGGUGUUUCGUAAGAAAACGUAAGUCUUAAAAGAGUUACAAGACAGCACCAGUUAUAUGGCCCUUGCUAGAUUCAUAGUUACUUUCCCAUGUACCGACUCUAAAGUGAAUGACUUUUUUUUUUCUUUGCAUAGCACUUUUUUUUUCCCCGAAAAGGAUAGGUAUCAAAAUGAUAUAUGUAUUUUAGGGCCAACACUCAGAACCACUUUUUGACCACUCAUAGUUUAGUUAAAAUCAAAUUUCGUUCUGUCUUUUGACACACUAUUUUCUCUGUCUAUUGAAAUGCUCUUCUGCUGUUGUUAGCACGCUUUCGUCUCUUGUUUUGCUUGUUGUUUAUUUUCUUUGAUUUAGUCAUUAUUGUAGUUAAGAACAUUGAUGAUUCUAUAGCAGACCUGUCACUGGAGUAUGAUGAAGAUGAAACCAUUCAAUUAGGGGCCGAAUCUUCAGAGAGUGAAACCUUGUAUGCUAAUUGUUUUGUAGGAAUGUUUCUUACCUCCAGUGUAGUUAAUUUCCAAGCGAUGAGAUUGACUUUGGCUAAUUUUUGGCAUCCAAUAGAGGGAGUCUCAAUCUCGAAUCUAGGCAAUGAAAGAUUCUUAUUCAAAUUUUAUUUUGAAGUUGACGUGGACAAAGUUGAAAAAAAUGGGUCAUGGAAUUUCAACUCUCAUCUAUUGGUGCUACAUCGGUUAAAGGAAGAGGAAGACCCUUUAUCUGUUCAAUUAAAUUGGGUAGACUUUUGGAUGCUUAUCCAUGAUCUUCCCCUUGGUUUCAUGUCUGAAGCGGUUGCUAGACAGUUGGAUAGUUUUAUUGGUGUUUUCCUUGAAUAUGAUGCAUCAACGACUCAGUUGGGUUAUAAAAGAAUAAUGAUGUUAAAUGUGCGAAUUGAUGUUAGAAAACCAUUGAAAAAGAAGAAGAAACUCACCUCUCGAAUGGUGAGUGGAUUUAUGUUCGAUUUGAAUAUGAAAAACUCAUUUUAUUUUGUUUCCUUUGUGGUAAACUAAGGCAUGGUAAAACUUUUUACCCGAUCAGAGCUCACAAUCCGCUACAAGAGUAUGUUUUCCGUUGGGAUAUAUCUUUACGUGCUCAGUUAAGGAAAAAUUUGGCUUGGAAGAGUAGAUGGUUGGUGGAGGAUGACGAUUGUGGUACUUUAAUUUAUGGAAACUAUAACACCCCUAACCCUUAUCCGUCGCCGGAACAGGGUUACAAAACAUUACCAGACUUUACAGAUUAAAUAUGAACAUUUCACAACUUUUAUUAUACAUGUUAAGAAUCAGUUAUAAAACACUCAUGUUGUCCCUUAGAUGGACCCUCAAGGCACAAUAUACACUUUAGAAAUGAAUUGGGACUAAACCGGAUACUUAGAGAAUUUUUCCUAAAAUCUCAAAAAAAUUUCUUAAAAGUAGGGGACACACGUCUGUGUGGCUCACACAGCCAGGAGACACACCCGUGUCUUAAGCCGUGUAGGCAUUCGAUGUGAGGCACACAACCGUGUCUCAGCCCGUGCCCUUACCCGUGUAACUCUCUGACUUGGGUCACACGGCCAUCCACAUGCCCGUAUGCUAGGCCGUGUGCAAGAUGUAAAGGUCACACAGCCAAGCCACACACCCGUGUGCUAAGCCGUGUGUAAAAACUUGAGCAUUCUGUUUUAAAAUUUUAAGGUGCAGGGGACACACGGCCAGACCAUACGCCCAUGUGUCAGGCCGUGUGGACGAAAAUAGACCAUUUUCAAUACAUCAAAUAGCCCCAAUCAAACAAUCAACACAAGCCAAAAAUCAUGUUUUAAACAUAAUAUAUCAUCACAAAACUCAAUUGCCAAAACUUACCAAAAUAACUCCGUUCAUUGAUUUACCAAAAUCUACUACUAAAUAUAUGCAUACUAACACAUAUAUAUGUCAUUCACAACCAUACUUCAAAUUUAGCUCUUUUCUAACUCGGCCCUAUACAUGUCAUAUAAACCAUAAAAUGUAUAACAAAAUCUACUGGAGCAAACUAGAUAGUGUGGCUCUAUGUGUUGAUCCGAUGCUUUAAACUUCUUAAAAAUCUAAAAAGAACAUUAAACGACACAGUAAGUUUAAUGAAGCUUAGCAAGUUCGCUGGCUUUAAAUAUAAAUCUUACCGAACAUACUAUAAUAAUUUAUUUAGGUAAAUUAUUUCACAAACAUUUCCUGCCAAUCACAACUUCAAUUAAUGAAUUCACUCAUUUGAGCUCAAUAUCAAUAAUAACUUAAAUUCUUCCACAUUAAUUCCAUUUGGCACUUACCAAUCAUUAUCAAACCAGAGAACGUCUUACGGAUUUGAGUACAUCGUAAAUAGAAAUCCAUAAGGGUUCAUCUAAAGCUCAAAAGAGUUAAACGGAAACCCAUUAGGGUUAAAUUGAAGCUCAAAAGAGCUAAACUGAAAUCCAGAAGCGUUAAUUUGAAACUCAUGAGUUUACUGAAGCUCGUGAGAGCUAAACGGAAAGCAAAUACGAGAGUUCGCAACAAAUGUUGAACAUCGGUUUACUUGGGUAAUUUUACCGUCAAUUCCUAUUUUGCACUAAACGACUAUACUCAAUCCUACGUUCCAUUCACUUCAAACACUUGAUGCAAUUUCAUAAAUUUAACAAUAAUUUUAUUUUCAACAAAUGUUACGAAUAAAUACAAAAAAUCAUUCAUCAAUUAACAUAUCACAUUAAAUUUUAACCAUUAGAACUUACCUGGGUUAAAUUGUGGAAAUUGUAAUGGUUCAGAGAUUAUUUGGCUAUUUUCCCAUUUUUCGCGUUGGUCUAAGGGCUCUUGAUCUAAAAUAUAAAAUUAUUAAUUCAUUAGCACAUGCUUCAAUUCUAAUUCACUUCACAAUUUAUACCACUCAAUUUUUGAAAUUAUACAAUUACCUCAACUUUUACAGUUUUUGUAAUUUAGUCCAUCGCCAAUUAACUCAUCAAAUAAGCUAAUUUUUCUCAAGUAACACUUUAUCUAAAUAUUUUAAACUAUUACACAGCCUUUGAUAAACAUAAUUUAAUACUAAACCCUAAGAUUUAAUUUUUUUACAAUUUGGUCCUAAAAUCAAUUUCCCUUGAAAGCACUUGAUAAAAUCAUCAUAUAACAAAAUUAAAACUUCAAAUCCAUGUUAAUUCAUCAUAAAAAUGCAGCACUCAUCAAUGGUAGCUUUCAAGAUUACUCAUAAAAUCAAAAACUAAUGAAUUAGAUAGUUAGACCUAAUUACAGAAGUCUUAAAAACACAAAUUUUAAGAAAAGAGCAAGAAUUGAACUCACAUGUAGCAAAAUAUGAAAUCCAACUUCUUAAGGGUUCUUCAAUGGUGUUUUUAGCUGAUAAAUUGAAGAAGAAUAACUUAGAAAAGUUGAGAAUUCAAUUUAUUUAAGUUUAUUUCACAAAAUUUACAAUUUUGCCCUUUAAUCACAUGAUUUUUGUUUUCUUUUCUGCUUAUGCCGCCUCAGGCCUUUGUUUUAGGCAUAAUUGCUCCUUAAGUCCUUCUUUGUUCAUUAAUUAAGUCAUUUAAUCAUUAUUUCUUUAAUUAGCAAGUUUUGCACCUUUUUCUAAUUUAAUCUUUUUUAAUUAAUUAACUAUCGAAACGUUAAAAUUUUCUAACGAAAUAUUUAUAAAAAUAUUUACAGCUCAGUUUAUAAAAUCGAGAUCUUGAUACCUCGUUUUCAAAACUAGUUAAUCUAACAAAUAUUUCUAAAGCAUAAAUCACUAAUUCAUAAGCCUUCUUAAAUUCAGAAUCGAAUCAAAAACACUAUAUAAUAAAAUUUAUGAAUUAAUUUAUCGGAUUUAGUGUUCUCAAACUACUAUUUUCGAAACUACUGAAAAUUGGACUGUUACAAAAACUCUAUAAAAAUACGGAAAGGAGAAAUUUUGAGGUUUCAUAAUCUGUUUGCAUAAAUCAAUGAGCAAAUUCAGAAUUUAUUUCCAAUUAUUCCCUCUCAACAAAAGGAAUGGUGAAUGUCUAGUUGACUUCAAGCCCAAUAAAUAUGGGUGAAAUGGGUCGAGCUUACAACGAAGCUAGGAACAUCUUUGAUGCGAAUAUGGCAAUUUAUGAGGAGGAGAAUAACCCAAUAAAAUAAAGUGAUGGGCUAAAAAGACCUUUUUUUAAGUCUACUUCAGGAGUUUCUAAUAAGGAAGAUUUGAAUGAAGUUUCGGGUACUCUAUUACAGGUACCAAAUUCUAGUAGAUCGCCAGGCCCUGCUAAGUGGGCUAGUCGGAUGCAAUGAAGCUGUUGAGUUGGAACAUUCAGGUAAAGGGGAGGUCUUGGACAGUUUGUUGUCUCCAGCAUAUGCUGAGAGAUAUAAAUCUCUCUAUAGUGUUCCUAAUUGAGAUGAAACUAUAGGGUUUUAAUAUGGAAGGAACAAGACGCAAAUGUGGAUUUCUUAAUGGGAUGGAUGUUGAUUCAUAUGGUAGAAGUGAGGGUUUAUCAAUGGGUUGGAGUAGCGAUUAUAAGAUUUGUCUUCGGUCUUUUUCGAGAAGGGACAUUGGCAUUAUGAUUGAUAAGGAUACUGAUGGUAAAACUUGGUGAUGUACGGGGUUUUAUGAAGUGCCCGAGGAGAAUCUGAGGAGGCAUCGUAAAAUUUAUUGCAUUCUUUAGAUGACUGCCCACAUAUCCCUAUGUUUGUAAUAGGGGAUUUUAAUGAAAUAGCUUAUUCAUCUGAAAAGAAAGGUGGAUUACUUCAGAGGGAGAGACAAAUGAGAAGAUUUUGGGAAGCUCUUUAUGAUUGCUCUCUUACAGAUUUGGGCUAUAGAGGACAAUGGUUUACCUGGGAAAAAGGUCGUACUCGAGCAAACAAUAUUAGGAAACGUUUGGAUCAAAGGGUAGCUAAUGCAGUUUGAUGGGAUUUAUUUCAAAAUUACAAAAUGCAUCAUCUCACGCAUUCUUUUUUAUUGCAAUCAGAUUUUGAAAAUAAUCAUGCGAAAUGGUGUCACUUCAAGUUCGAGGUUGCGUGGCUUUUGGAAGAAACGUGUGAGUCAAAUGUUCUAAAAUUAUAGACUGAAAAUUUGGGUGAUGUCCUUAAUAGAUUGAAGGUGUUUGGUGUGGGCCUUAAAGCGUGGUUCAAAAGGAUUAAAAAGAUAGGGGUUUGUCGAAAAAAGAUCUUAAGAAGCAAUUCAUUAAGUUGAACAAAUCAUACCUAACUGAUGAGGUGUUGGGUGAUAUUGUUGAGAUAAAACUAGCCCUUAAUAUGGAGGCCGGUAGGGAGGAACUCUACUGGGAACAAAGAGCCAGAGCUAAUUGGAUGAAAAAUGGUGACCGAAACACAAAAAUUGCAACAAAAAGAAGACGAAGGAAUAUGAUGGAUAAACUACUAGAUUUUGAUGAAAAUUAUUAUAAGAGCAAUGAGGAGCAGUUGUCACUUGCCACUGACUACUUUGCCUCUCUAUUCACUUCAACUAGAAUCGAAAAUCCAGGUUCUAUAUUAGAAGGGGUUGAGCCGUGCAUUACUCGAGCAAUGAACGAGGAACUUGCAAAGGAUUUUUCUUACGAGGAUAUUUGUAUGGCGUUAAAAUCAUGAAUACAUUAAAGACUUCUGGUGAGGAUGACUUGGGUGCAAUUUUUUAUCAAUGGUUUUGGCAUAUUAUGGGUAAAGAGGUAGCAAAUUAUUGUAUUGAGAUUUUAAAUGGAGGCACAAUAUCGCUGAAAUCAACCAGACACAAAUUGUUUUAAUCCCUAAGGUUAGCUGUCCAUGAAUUAUGGCUCUAUUUAAACCGAUUAGCCGUUAUAAUACCCUUUACAAAAUUAUUGCAAAAAUGCUAGUGAAUAGGUUUUAAAAAGUCUUUCACUAUUGUAUAGAUGAGGUACAAAGUGCAUUUGUACCAGGGAGGCUUAUCACUGAUAAUAUUUUAGUUGUCUAUGACGUUUUACACUCCAUGAAAAAGAAAAAGAAAAAGAUAAGAGAUGAAGGGUCUUUUGCUUUGAAGCUUAACAUGAGUAAAACGUAUAAUAGACUAAAGUGUGCGCUCAUUAAUGUCAUGCUUAGCCGAAUGAGUUUCUCGAAGUUGUGGGUUCAGAAAAUUAUGAGAUGUAUUGAAAUGAUUUCUUAUUCUGUGGUUAUGAGCGGAGAGGUGGGUAAUUUGUUUCUUCCUUAUCGGGGGCUUAAACAAGGGGGCCCACUUAAUCCUUAUUUAUUUCUUAUUUGGGGAAGGUCUGUCAUCUUUUCUUAGAAUGGCUGCUACAAGUGGGGAUCUCAAGGGUGCUUGCAUUAAGAGACACGCUCCAGUUAGCACCCACUUGUUAUCUUUGCAAAUGACAGUCUUAUCUUUGGAAAGGCCACAACAGAUGGGGCUAUGGUGCUUAAUGAAAGACUGGAGAUUUAUGCCAAUAGUUUGGGUCAAUUAAUAAUUUUUGAUAAGUCUGGUAUGUUUUUAGUUCCAAUGUUGAGUAGAAUAGCAAAAAAGAGGUUUAUCGAAUUUUAGGGGUUAAUCCAAACAUUAAUCCAGAAAAGUAUAUUGGUCUCCUUUAAAUCGUGGGGCAAAACAAAAAGAGGGCUUUUAGGGAGAUAAAAGAAAAUCUAAUUAAAAGAGUGUUUAGUUAGAGUUCGAGAAUGCUUUCGGUGGGUAUAAAAGAGGCCCUUAUCAAAAUAGUAUUUCAGGGAGUUCCCAUGUAUACCAUUUCUUAUUUCUUGAUGCCCAAUUCCUUUUGUAAGGAACUUGAAACUGUUAUUGCUAGAUUUUGGUGACAGAAGAAAGCUGGGAGGAAUGGUUUACAUUGGAGUUCUUGGAAACCAUUGUGUAUUCCAAAAGAGGAUAAAGGUAUGGGUUUCCGUAAUCUUUCUAAAUUUAAUAUUUCUUUAUUAGCAAAACAAUGUUAGAGAUUGAUGGAAAAUCCAGGCUCGUUAACAAGAUUAAUUCGAGAAAAAUAUUAUCACGGUUUAAAUUUUCUAGAAGCCCCAUUGGGCUCAUACCCGUCCCUAAUUUGGAAAAGUAUAUGGUGUUCCAAAGCUUUGUUAAAAUCUGGUAUUGGAUGAAGGAUUGGUUCUGGGCUAUCUAUCUUGAUAUGGCAAGACUAUUGGUUACCGAGGAAGAAUAGAGCACUAAUUACUACAAACAAGGUAGCAAGAUUGGAAUGUGUAAGUGAUUUGAUUCUCCCAAACCCAAAUAGAAGAGAUCGACAAUUAAUCUACUCAACUUUCACGGAGGAAGAAGGAAAUUUGAUUGUAAGAAUCCCUAUACCUAUCACUAAUCAAUCUGAUAAAGUAAUAUGGUCUAGAGAAAAAUCAGGUUUUUAUUCAGUAAAAAGCAGUCACAAAGCCUUCAUCGAACUUCUCAUUUGAGUACUAUUGAGCAAUAUAAUUUUAAGCAAAUUUGGAGUUUAACGUGCCUAUCAAAAAUUCACAUUUUAAUGUGAAAAUUUGCAAAUAUAUAUAUUCCUACUUUCCAGAAUUUGCAUUAUAGAAGAAUUUUGUCAGAGAAUAGUUACCCGCGCUGUCAGGAUUGUAGUAAAUCACAUGUUCAUGUUGCUCGAUACUGUGCAUUCACUAUGCAUGUUUGAUCAAAAUUAAAUUAUCAGUGGCCAAGUUCAAUGCGUCUAUGAGUUUUAACAACUGGUUAAACUGGCUAUUCAUAAAUUCAUCCAGUAACAGUAAAGGGGAAAUAGCCAUUACAAUUUGGGCAAUCUGAUUUUCCCGCAACAAACUGAUACAUGAAAGAAAAGUACAAAGUGUGGAGGAAGUUGUUACCUUUAUCAGGGGUUAUGGCAGGGAGUACAAGAGGCGUUUUGGAAUAUUACAACACCCCUGACCCAGAUAGUUGAUAAAAUGGGAGCCCCCCCUACGAAUUGGGUCAAAGUGAAUGUUGACGUCGGUUUCUCAGAGGCAAAACAACAUGCAACAUUGGGUUUCUUAAUUAGAAAUGAUGAAGGUCUUAAAAUAGGGUCGGGAAUCAGAACUCAUAACCUAGUUAGAUCGGUGGUGUUGGCUAAAGCGAUGGCUGCUCUUCACGGGCUCUAGUUUGCGUUGGAGAUGGGUUUCACGAAAAUUAUUUUGGAAAGUGACUCUAAAACAAUUAUUAAAAACCUCCAAGCAACAAAGGAAGACUAUUCAGAGAUAAGACCGAUUACUUGGGAUGUGAAGGCUCUUACAAUGAAAUUUUCUUCAUGUCAUUUUGAGUUCGUUGCGGGAGAAGGUAACGCAGUGGCGCAUGCGAUGGCGGUCGAAGGGAUGAGAAGAUCAGAAGACUCGUUCUGGGUUGAAGAUGCCCUAUUAAAAGCGAUGGAAAUGGCAGAUUUGGAUCGUCUUUUCAUCUGGCCACCAUAAUUUCCCUCCUCUGCUGCUCGCUGCUCUGGGUUGAGAACUUCUGAUAUUCUAAAGGUAUAUCUCAACUCCCUUCCAUUGUUUGCUAGUUCUGAUUACCAGAUCUCGCAAGGUUUUGGCUGUUUGGGUUUUCUGGUCACUGAAGGGUUUGGAAGAAGCUUCUAGAGUUGCAUCAUGUUUUAUUUUCUUUAUUUUAUCUGUUUGAACUUCAUUUUCUAUCUGCUUUUGUUUUGGACUUCCAAGCCCAUUUUAAUCAAAAUGAACCGUUUAUUCAAAAAAAAAAAUAACUUUUUGACAAAAAAAAUACUUUUAAGCAAAAGCUAAAAAUUUUUAGUUUUGCUUUUGAUAAAAAAAAUAAUUUUGUAAAAUAUUUUUUUAUCUCAAAAAUAUUUUUAAAAAGCUCAAAAGUAUAUUGUUUAGUAAUAUUUUCAAAUCAAAAGUAUUUUUUGUCUCAAAAAUACUUUUGAAAAGUAAUACUAAUCAGACUCAAAAGUAAUUACGAUUUUUUUGUGUCCUUAGACACCGAUAGACACUCAAUUUGAUUGUUGGAACUGAAAAAAAAAGAAGUGUUACUUUCAUGUAUUUUCCAAUUAUUAUAUAUAAGGAGAUGGUAGUGAAACACUUUUUUUUCUCAAUUAAAAAAAAAAUUUAAGUGAGUAGUUUAUGGGAGAGUGAGUAGUUUUCUUUUUAGAUCUGACUUUUUUAAAGGUUGGAAUUAAUGAAUAUAAAAGUAAAAAGAUUGGUAAAUAUUGAUUAUUUACUGUUUUGUUCUACAUUUUCUUGAUUUAUAUUAACUUUUAAAGAGAUUUUAGUAACGUCAGUUAAGACCAUAAACUUAAUCAGAAAUAGUAAAAAACUUUAUGGCAGAAAAAAGUAAAAAAUAACUAAAAAAGAAAAAGGGAACUAAAAUAUGAUAACCUCUUAAUCCACUAAUGAAAUAAAAAUUUCACUAUUUAUAAUCUACUUCCCUUUUCCGGGCCAGUGUUUCAAACUAGAAACUUCUUUGGGUCAUCUUCAUAUUAGAUUGAAGCCCGAUUUUAGGUUUAUGUACCAAAACCAAAAAUUAGUUAUGUUUGGUAAAUGAAUUUGAAUACAUGCACCACCACUCUCAAUGCUCACCCACCUAAGCCCAUGACAUAAACUGCAUUUAAGUGAACCAGUGGCAGUUGGAGCCAUUAUGUUGGUUGAAAAAUAUUGUUGGCAGUGUUAUUCAGCAGUACUUGUUCUAAGGCUCCUACUACAUUUCUCAUUAUAAAUGUGGAGAAAUCUUGUUCUACUUUCCAUUCCAUGCAACACUAACUUUUAGAUUCCCUUUCCAUUGCACUGCUCUUUCUUUCUAUAGAAUUAGUCACUCCUGUUCUAGAUGAAGGUUCUCUCCCCAAUUCUUGCUUGCCUAGCGGUAAGUUUUUCGAUUUCAUGUGAUUAUUCGUUGUUGAAUGCAAAGAACUAUGAAGGGUUUUUUUUUACCUCAACUUUUCUUGUUUGUUAUUUGUUGUUACAGCUUGCUGUGGUGGUAAGCCAUGCUGCUCUCUCACCUGAGCAAUAUUGGAGCUAUAAGCUGCCAAAUACUCCAAUGCCAAAGGCUGUCAAAGAAAUUCUACAUCCAGGUGAGUGUUUAAUAUCCCAAGAAUUCUUUUUUUUUUUUUUGAAUCAUGUUUACUCACCGACAAAACAGGACUACUGUGAUAUAAGCCCUCAACUUGAGAUGGUCAGGAAAGUGAGGACUGUAGAAUAUCAGACCCUGGUUUCCCAUAGAAUUGAAUUGAGCCUAAUGCAGCAAACAAUCAUGUAAUCGUGGAAGCCGGGUAAUAAUCAGAAAUGAGGUGCUUAACAUAGUUCUGUUCCUGCAAUUUAUUAAAAGAGAAAGAGCCAGGAUACUUUCUGUUUAGCAAUAUAUUUCAGAAAACAUAGGAAUAGGAUGUGUUCUGCACAUAUUGACUUAUUAUGAAAAAAAUUGUUGGAAUCAUGCAUUCAUCAGCAUGUAUAUGAGCUCUCUAGCCCAUUUUGGUGUAUUUGCAGAACUGAUGGAGGAGAAAAGCACCUCUGUAAAUGUAGGAGGUGGUGGUGUAAACGUCAAUACAGGAAAAGGGAAGCCUGGGGGUGACACCCAUGUGAACGUUGGAGGCAAAGGAGUUGGAGUGAACACGGGAAAGCCAGGGGGUGGCACUCAUGUGAAUGUUGGAGACCCUUUUAAUUACCUAUAUGCAGCCAGUGAAACUCAAAUCCAUGAAGACCCGAAUGUGGCUCUUUUCUUUCUGGAAAAGGAUAUGCACCCCGGGGCAACAAUGAGCCUGCAUUUCACUGAAAAUACAGAGAAAUCAGCUUUCUUACCUUAUCAAACUGCCCAAAAAAUACCGUUUUCAUCUGACAAGUUGCCAGAAAUUUUCAACAAGUUUUCAGUGAAACCUGGAUCACUGAAGGCAGAGAUGAUGAAGAACACAAUUAAGGAGUGCGAACAGCCAGCGAUUGAAGGAGAGGAAAAAUAUUGUGCAACCUCACUGGAGUCAAUGAUUGACUAUAGCAUUUCCAAACUAGGGAAAGUUGAUCAGGCAGUCUCAACAGAAGUGGAAAAACAAACCCCAAUGCAAAAGUAUACAAUAGCAGCUGGAGUGCAGAAGAUGACAGAUGACAAAGCUGUAGUGUGCCACAAGCAGAAUUAUGCAUAUGCUGUCUUCUAUUGCCAUAAAUCAGAAACAACAAGGGCUUACAUGGUUCCUUUAGAGGGUGCUGACGGAAC
rnacentral:lncRNA from 1 species